rnacentral:lncRNA from 1 species
GUCGAGAAUGUGUAUGGUUGAGAUCAGUGAUACAUUUUAUCAAAGAAAGGUGUGGCCUGAAGUGUGAUAUUAAGGUACCCACAGUCCUAUUUGAAGACAAUGUUGCAUGCAUAACCUAAUUAAAAGGAGGCUUUAUAAAAAGAGAUAGAAUGAAGCACAUUUCACCAAAAUUAUUCUUCACACAUGAUCUCCAUAAAAGAAUGAUGAUAUUGAUGUACAACAAAUCCGUUCAAGUGAUAAUCCAACAGAUUUAUUCACCAAAUCUUUACCAGCCUCAACUUUUGAGAAGAUGGUACGCAAGAUUGGAAUGUGAAGAAUUGUGGUCUUUAUGGGGGGGGAGGGGGGUUUUAAAAUACGUGUUGCACUCUUUUUUCCUUAGUCUAGAUUUUGUCCUACUAAAUUUUCCUAGCAAUGUUUUUAAUGAGGCAACAAGCAAAAUGCGUAUUUAAAGAUAUAUGUACUCUUUUUUCUUCACUGAGUUUUUUUUCCCUCUCUAGUUAGAUUUUAAUGAAGCAUAUUGUUAAGCAAGAUGGAGUGUGGAUUGUUUGUGGAAUUGUCAUGGUAGGAAUGUGGAUGACUUGUGCAGAACAUGUAUGGCUUGUGAAUGUCAUAAUCUGCUUCACGUAUAUGGCCUAUAAAUAGCCUAUGGUUAAGAAGAAAAUAAUAUGAACUACUACUUCUACUAUGCUUUAUCUCUCUCAUUGUUCAUUGUUCUUUGUUCUUUAGAUUUAAUACAUAAUCUUUUAUUUUAUAAUAACAAUUGAUACAAUAUAUAAUAAGGACAACUGAUACAACAUCAAAUUACACCAACUUGUGUUCCUUUAUUCUUCAUUCUCACAUUGAACAUUCUUUCAGAUUUGAGUCUUAGUACUAAAAUUAAAAAUCCUUAAUCUGCUAUUAAAACCAGGAAUUAAACCAGAAAGAUUGGAUAUUCUAGCCCCUCAAAAAUCAUGUUGUAGCCUGAUUGUUGAAGCAAAUAAUUCCACCAGUCUACACAUAAUAAAUUUCAAUUUUCAGUAUUUGCAAUAAAGAGAUUGCUGACAAUACCAAAGAAGCACCUCCGCAAGUCCCCCGUCACAUAAACAGCAUUUUAACAGCGGUCCAACUCUGGGAACUGACAUGAUAUAAUGCUCGAGGAUAGAUUUCAAGAUCUAGUAAGAAUACAACAAUCAACAAAUCAUUUUGGAUCAGUCUUCUAGCUCUCUCUCUCUCUCCCCUCAUAACUGAUCUCUCAUAUUCUAAAUGAGAUGGUGAGGAAACCAUCAUUACAUCGUGAGCAUCUUCCCAAUGAGUGCUGCAAAUAUCAAAUGUGGGAAACCAAAUCUCGUCCAAGUAAAUACCCGUCUGAUGAAGCAGCAUCAAAGUGCCAUGCAUGGGUAAACAAGCAAAGUUACAGAUUCUCGCAUUUACCUGCCAAGGAGAAGGGGUUAGAGAAAAGUACAAGGAAAGAUAGUCAAGCGCAUCAAUGAAUGGUCGUCUGAAAAUUCACCUGACAAGUGAUAGUCCAUGAGCGAGAUGCAACAUAUUCUUGGCAAGCAAAGAUUCACCAUAAUCGGUGAGCAAGAGAGCAAAGGUUUCAUAUGAAGCAAGAAGGGAGCUCCAGCCUGGACUAGAUAGAUACUCCUGAAUAAUAAUAGUCCUUUCUGAAGCCUAAUUAGAAGACUAUUGUCUUGCACAUUCUUUACAGAACAUAUCUGCACAGCAGAUAAGACUAGCCCAAUUCUGUCUAGCCUAUAUGCCAGAUACUACAGGAUAAAAAAUGGACUGUGAUUUUACACUGGAAAAAAUAAUCCAACCACGAAGCUUGUUGGAAUCCCACGUUAAGGUGGUUGCACAUUUCUAAUGUUGUAGAUAUUCAUACAACCAUAUUUCCACUUCAUAACUGGUGCACAUGCACUCAAAGUUAGUUCAGAUCUCCUAAAGUUAUUAGAUAUGGAUUACAGAUAGACCCUCUAACCUCGUAUAUAAAACAAGGUUAGAUGGUCUAAAGUUAGCUAUGUUCUAUGUUAUAUGGUCCUCAUUGCCUUGAUGUGCUGGUUUCAAAUGUAAGCAACAUUGGUAUAGCCUAUAGGUACUUCAUGCCAAAACUGUACAUAUCCAUAUGGUUAUGACCCAAAGCUGAGUCCAUGUAACAUAGACUAGUAUUCCCAUUACACCUUCUGCAGAAGCAUGGUAGCCACGCCUACUUCGUCUCCAAUAUGCAUUCAAACCAUAAUCAAAUUGAAAAGAGCAAUGAGUGAUUUUACCGUUACAAAACUGGCCUGCCAUCACUGACUCCAUUGAGGAGUUAUUAACUGGACAGACAUCUAUAAUCCAGAGCCCGUGCCUGAAGUUGGAACAGCAAUAAUAGAAAAGAUAAUCAGAUGACACAAAGGAAGUUUCCGCUAGAAGAAACUACCAAGUAUUUCACAUAGUAAUAAAAUACAAUAGAGCUCAUCCUUUAAGGAUGUCAGGUCUGCCUACACUAGGCCAACAUGCAACGGCUUUCCCCGUUGAGGGCUAACUUACCUUGCUUAGAGGUGAAAUGUCUACAGUCUUAUCAUAGUAGUCAGGAAUUAAGAUAUUGAACUGUAAAAUGAAGAGAAAAAAACAGUAAAAUGGAAAAAUGGUUGGAUAUGCCCUGACAAGAUUGCUAAUUAAUUUGACUUCUCCCCUUUCUCAUUAGUCUAUCAAGGUUAGGGCAAGACCUUAUCCAACUGCAGUUAAGAAUAGCUUCAUCAAGUGAGAGCCGAUAUUGUAGUUACAAAGUUUAGCAGGAAUUUCUAGAGAAUUAGUCAAAAGAUCUUGUUUCUCUUCCCCUUAGUACUUAUAACUCUUGGCAGAAGGGUUUGAUUCUAUUCUGAACACGAUCCCGAUCAAGGCAAGCUGGUAACACAUUACUCUUGGCUCACCUAUUCUUUCAUUUUUCUGGUCAAUUGUUGCAAAAGGAGAAAGGGAUUUGAAUCAAUAAUAGAUUCAAGUGUGCCACUUAACAUGAUGAGAGGACCAAGGUCCAACCGUUAAAUAAGUUCAAAUAAAUUAAAACGGAGGCAGUACCAUCCAACACAUGUUCUUGCACGCGUCGACAUGUGUCGUUUUCUCUAUUCAUUUUUUACAAGACAUCUAUGAUUGUGGGAACGUCCUCCCGUCCCGUAACCAUCCCGGAAGUUUCAACAUGUUUAGAUGACCAAAUGCUUCUCCGACAAGGAACAAAGACAAUUGGGAUCUUCUCCGAUGUGGAACAGACUUAAUUCAAGAUAUUCCAACCAUAUAUUCAUUGAACAGACUCAUUUGUACGACUCUGCCACAGAUUCAGCACUAAUCAAGUUGACUACAACUUAAGAGUUCGGUACCUGAUUCUCAAAACAUUCCUAUGACAUUUUUGGACAAGUCCAAACACUUUCCAGGUAAAUCUCAUUUUUUGAGGUACAAUACAAUUCACCCUUUUCCAGUCAAGUUUUCUGAUAGACUUGGUGUAGUUUCACGAGGCUUCAGAAGAUUUGGGUCAAGAAGAUGAGAUCCAACACUUCAAAUGAUCAGAUGGUCUCUUGCCUGAUUAUGUUGGAUUCCUUUCGUACAAAACAUUUAAACAUAUUCUUCCGAGAUAGCUUAUAUCGUCAUGACAGGUAAUACCGUAAUAGAAUGGCUUGUGUCUCCCAAUCUCCAACUCUUAGUCCUUGGGUCACUAAUUCACGUGCUUCUAAGUUCUAAUCACAUUUUUAGUAAUAAGUAUCUUUUACCUACUAUGUUUCACUCUCAUCUCCUCUGAUAGUCACACUGACCAAUAUAUCUCAAAUUAUGGCAACGAAAUAGGUAAAGUUAGCCUAGCUCCUACUUUAACUUUAAAUUUAGUUCUUCAUGUAAUAUCAUGUUUCAUUAGUCGUUUAUCCCAAACAUUUAACUGCUCAGUGACUGUCCACAACAACACUAUUGUAAGAUACAUGAAGGUAGUACGGGGCAAAUCAUAGGUUCCAAGCAUGAAUGACAUGAAUUUUAUUACCUCAGCCUUCCUAAAUUGUCCAAAGUGUGUCCUUUAUACAUAGCUAAUCAUGUUAUUGCUUCACUGGGUAUAUUACAUAGAUGAUUGGUACAUCCUAGUUCAUCAAAGCUUCAGAAAAUGGUAUCUUAUUUGUCUCACUUGUCUACUUUAGAAUGUGAGUUGUGUCAAUUCAGUAACCACACUUGCUCCUCCUCCCUCAAGUCUGAUAAUAGAGCAAAGUCUCUUUUCUUUUUAGUCACUUUAGAUGUUUGUCUUUCUAGUUGGGUCAGUCCUACUUUCAGAUUCCGCUAAUUUGACAGGUUCAUUAAUGAUUAUUCCAGCUCCACUUGGAUAUUCUUGAUGAAAAGACAACUUAGUUGUUUUACAUUUUUCAGAUUUUCUAUGUUGGAAUGGUGUCUAUAUCCACACUUCUCAUAGUGAUUAUACACCAAACUAUUUAUCUUCUCCAUUUCGGCAAUUCAUAAAACUCUCAUGGGAUCAUUCAUCAAACAAGUUCUUAUAUAUCUCAACAAAAUAAGAUAGCUGAGAGGAACAAUAAGCAUCUCAUUGAGACUGUUCACACCCUACCUGUACAUGUUCCAUUGCAAUUUUGGGGGAUGCAGUUCGCAAAUAUUGUUAUUUUAUUAAUCUUAUGCCUUCCUCUGCAACUCAGAAUCAAGUCUCAUACCCUAGUUUGUUUCCUCACUCAACUUUCUUUUUCUCUCCCACCUUAUGUCUUUUGGAGGCUUUGUCCAUAACUUUACCAAAGACAAGUUAGCCCCUGUGCUCUUAAGUGUGUAUUCUUAGGUUAUCCAAGUGUGCAAAACAAAUAUCAGUGCAUCUCACUUGACAUCCAGCAGUACCUUAUAUCCGUCAAUGUUACCUUCUUCCAAAUUCAAACCUUAAUUUGCACCCUUCUCUCCCGCACACCAAAACAUUUAUGAGGUUUUACCAAUUCCAUCUUUUGGGAUUCUGACGUUAUCUCCCUUCCGCCACCCAAAAGCUAUGUUGCUGAGACACAGGUGCAGGUGUCCUAUAUGAGUGCAGAUCUAGAGGUCAGAUCCUUCAUGAUCUAAAUUUUAAGAUUUUGGAGACACGGAUCCAAAUAUGGAUACGGGUGCGGGGAUUCAGCUAAAAUAAUUCAAAUAUCUAAAAAAUAGAGUUACAAAACCUAAAUUAUGAGAUAUUGAGGAGAAUAUUGAUCAAGCGAAGAAUCCUCAAAUGAGAUUAAAGGAAAAAGGAGUGACGGAAAUUUCUUUAUACAAGAUAUUCCAUUGUCUUCAAUUUCACUUAGCUUUUGUUUUGAUUACAAAAAAAAAAAACUGUCCGAAAUUUCUUCAUCGAUUUUUGGUCAAUACCCAAAAUCGGCUGACCAGAUCGUGUACGGAUCCCAACCCACACCAAUAUUGUGUCAACAUGAGUGCAGCACCAAAAGUAAAGAGUCGGAGCAACAUAAGCCCAAAAGCAAGAGAAAUUUUCAUGUCUUUGGCUCAUGAAAAAGAACCAGGCCCACACGUAAAAAGGCAUGUUGAAUAUAUAAUUAAGUAAAAAGAAUGUGCUCCCUCUUAUAGCUUUGCUUUAAGUUUUAGAUGAGAUGAUCACACACUUCAACAUGACCUCUGUGAUAUUGGUAAAGACUCGAAUAGCUUCCACUAUUGGCAAGCUAUAUCGGCCAUUGUGUUCAAGUCAAUAUUUUCUUCUUCUGAUCUUCCUUUUGAUGUUUGGUGUUGCUCUUUUCUUCAACAAAAGGUGCCCCUAAUCCCUAGAGGAUCGUUCAUGCACCGCUCCUCUAGGACUUUUCAAGCAUCGUUCUCUCUCGUGACCAACACAUCUACUUUUUAUAUGAUCAGUGCCCUCUUCCAAGACCUAUAAUUUCUUUUCAUUGCUCUGUCAUUCAAGAAUGUUCAGGAGAUUUGCAAAACCAUAUCUUUUUCAAUGAUUGAGAAUAGAUUUCUUUUCAUAUGUAGUUCUUUUGUCGUCCACACCAACAAUUUUCCUUAGGAAAGAAUUCCAACUCCGCUUUUCUUUUUGAUGAUUUUGCACUAUUCUAGAUAUAAUUUGACAUCAACUCUCUAUUGUUCAAAAUAAGCAAACUUGAGUUGGUUUUCCCAUUUCAAAUUUGAAGUGGCAUGUUAGAAUAUCAAGUGAAUAGGUGUCUAUAUUCAUUGUACUAAAAUAAGUAAAAUCAUAUAGAAUAUUAUAUAUGAUACCUUAGUAUUUUUUAUUUUUUUAUGACGAGGGAAACCGCAGUCGCUACCCUUAGAGUGCGCACAGGGUUUCUAUGCAAUAGCUCGCAAACCACACAGGAGAGUAACCUACACUAGGCAAACCCGGUGCAACGAACUCAACCCAGAAAGCAAACCCCUUGCUUUCGCUGGCAAGGGGUUUCGAACUUGAGACCUCCAACAUGGAAGUCCCAAGCCCAAACCACUAGGCCACCCCAAAGGGUGAUACCUUAGUAUAUUUUAAUCAUAGAAUAUUUACUAACCUAAUUAAUUAGCAUAAGGGUUUACCAACCAUACUAUACAUAGCCUAAGACUUCUAUACAAUGGGCACCUCUUAUACAUUGUUAAUCAAGACAAUGAGAAGCUUUUCUUAUGUUCAAAUAUAAAAACCACAAUUUAUCAAAUAAUUCCUCAAUUUGAAGCUGAUUAUAAAUGUGUUAUACAUAUAGUUGGAAUGGAUCUUUGCCAAUGGUUUGUGGUAAGAGUUUAAGCAAGAAUGCAACACUCAAAUGCCUUCACCAGAAUGUAUUUUAAAGAAAGUAGAUUUCAGAGUUUCACCCAUAAAAGAUAACAGUGAGCAGUUGUCCCUAGGGACUUUAAUCUAUUACAUCGAAGCAAAUCUACAUAUAACUAACAAAUAUGUGAUUUCAUGUACAAUACAGGGGAGAAUGUAAAUGGUUUAUUUCAAACUCAGAUGCCUAGAUCAAUUAUCUUUUGUUAACACAGUCUCUACUCCGUUGGCCCAGAAAACAAGAAAAAGAAAAGAGUAAGAACCAUGAGAUAGAGCCAAGCAACGGUCAAGCUUUUUCAAAGUAAAUAUCCAUAACAGAAAGUUUGACUGAUUAAAGCACCAAUACAGAACUAUUUAUGUCAAUGCUCAAAUGUUCGACAAAUUUGAACAGGAAAUGGUGAAACGGAAAGCGUCAGAAUGACAUACUACAGACUGUUAUUCACUGGAAACAAACUAUUGGUUGAAUAAUUCUAACAUGUAUUCAGAUGCAAACAGUAACUGCAGGUAAGCCGUAAAUGUACAGGAAGAUUCCCAUUAUGGUUCAUCAGGUAAAGCCACUUCACAUUACGGCGGAACAUCUGACAUUAUCAUAUAAGUUGAGAAUGACAAAAUAAUCAGUCUUUCUCCCCCCUGCUCAGGAGAAACAAGAAACAGGACAAGCAUAGAGUCGCAACGAUGCAUACCUCAAUUGAAGAAUUCUAGCAAGUUUAGACAGUAAGUUGUCAAGUAAUGGUAAAGGAUCAACUCUUCUAGCCACCAACAGCAGUCAGAAAACUUCACUUUUACAUGGUAAAUUGUCAACAAAACAGAAUGAGCAGCUUCUCUACCCCCCAACAGCAGCCAGAAACUUUCUCUUGCUGACUGGCUCCUCUUGCAUAACCACUACAUCUUUCACCUUUUCGAGCAGCUGCUCAAGUUCUGUCACUCCAAAGCUCUCAUAGUCCAAAGGCCUCUUGUACCGCAGUUUAUAUAUUGCCUCAAAAUUACUAAGAAGAAUCUGACAAAAGUAGCUCACAAGGAUCUCUUGAAUCUCAUACUUGAACCUUUGGAGGCUUUGUUCAACUAAUGCAGCUGUAUCAGAUUUCUUACGCCCCCCAUGUUCUAUAACUAAUCUUUCAUCACCUGAGAACUCAUCUGAAGAUUCGGGUGUAGUCACAAUAUCAGCAUUCACUACUUGCAUUCUUUUUCCUUUUCUAUCCGUUUUUGCCACAAUCAAGGGAGGAGUACUUGGUCUGGCUCUUCUGUUACGGAGGUAAGCAAACUUUCUUUGGCCUUUUCCCUCGACAGAUAUAGCAUCAGCCAUCUUCUUCAGAAGAUUCAUAAAUUUACAAGCCCCAUAUUCUGAAGUAUAAAGCAGGUUCCCAUAAAAUUUCUGGUACUCUACGGGGAUAUGUGUAAGAGGCAAGCAACCUCCAAAUAAUUCAAGCAACUUCACCAGCUGUCCCUUCAAACCAUUUAUAUCCCCAGGAAGAACCGACGUUACAUCACUCUGGCCAAAUAAAGAUGGACCUACAGCUGGAACCUCAGUUAAACCAGAUGGAAGGCUGUGAGAUGGCAUACCCCCAGGAUGACAUGGCAAAGACAUUGAAAUGCCAUUAUAUUCAGCUAGAGACUCUGAUAUCAUUGAGAAAUUCCUUGCAUUGUAAUUGCUUCGAGAGAGGCCUCUACACACUGUAGCUUCUUCUUCAUUCUGUUUAUCUGAAUUCUCAUACAUCUGGCAACCCAUUAGCAUCCCAGAAACGUCUGCCACACCUCCACGAGGAGGAAUUAAGGCCUUCACAGGGGGGAAAAGACCUUCACCUCGGGCCACACUUGGCCAAUCCCAGACAAAACUCCCUGCAUUACAUAAAGCAGAUGAAACACUCACUCUAGCAGGAAUGACAAGAAUUACAUUGUAUCCUCGUUGACCAAGAAUGUGAAGGGCAGGAGAAAAAUCAACAUCUCCUGAAAUUAGCAUAAUGGAUGAUGGUUGAGGAUUGUCAAGAGCAAAAACAAACAUGUCAACCAAGAUCGCCUUAUCGGCUGCAUCCUUCCUUCCAUUAGGAACAUCUAUGAGUUUAACACCAGUCCUCUGACAGCCCUCUCUUAAUCGCCUGGGGAAAGCAUUAAAAUCUCCAUAGGCAGAAAACAUAGUGACCAGUCCCUUGAUUACAGGAUGGACCCACAGAGCCAUUCUGAUAUUGCCAGCCACAUCCUCAGGGCGUACAUUACUAGGAACAGGACAGUUCUCAAUAUCCCAAAAAAUUGCCACAGGUCCCUGUGUAGCAUCUGGGACUUGCGGGGAGAGGGAUAGUGUUCCUUUCAUAUUUCUACUUUCCUUGGGCUUCUCAAUUUGUUCAGACGAUUCUGAGGACAAUCCAGAAGAUGAUGUAGCAGGAUGUGCCGUCAUUAUCCAAUUAAAGUUUCUAUGGUCCUUGGCUUCCUGUAGAUGGCCAACAAAAUUAGUUACAAACAACUAGAACCUAUUCCAAGUUUUUCCAUAGAUAGCUGAAUCAAUACACGAAACCCAUGAAAGCAGGAAUAUUUUCAAACAGUUCCAAUAAAUACCAAAAUAUGCAAGCCCAACAGCAAUCAACUCCAAACAAUUGUCAACAUUAGUUUAGAUGCUAAUAAGGGAGACCAAAUUCAUAAUUUUUCACUUUACGUGAAUAAAAAUGUCAAUUUUACAUGAUGUAAUGCCUGCAACCAAUUUGGCAAGGUAGCCUUUUUUAUGAUUGGAAACACAAUGGAAAACGAUCUCCACUAUUCAAAAUAAAAGCUUAACAUUCACUUAAGCAACGUUGUGGCUGUAAAUACGAGAGAAACAGGAGAUAUGCAUGACAGCACCAUGGCAGAGUAUGGGAUAUGUAUCAAGAUGGCCGUCUUAUGAAUCAUGUAUCAUAUGAUAAAUCGUGUUGUAAGAUACAUGGCAAAGUUUAAACAAUGCAUAGAAAGAAAAAAUAAGUGACUAAAGAGGAUUUUAUUUCCUUCUUAUAAGUCACUGAGAGGCUUGUUUAACACAAGGUAAUUUAUCGAGGAGAGGUUUUCCCAAAAUAGAUGCCACAGGUGUCCAAAAGCUCCAGAGAUCCUUAAUCAUCUCUUUGUACAUUACAACAAGGACUGGCAGAUGAGGUCUUAUUUCAUAAUCUUUUUGCAAUGAACCAUGCCAAACACACCGAAAAGAUUAUACUAAGUAGGGAAAGGACAAAAAAGCAGGUUAAAACAAUGUGGAAAGCAGUACCCAUGUGCAUUUGUUGGACAGUUCAGGUAGAGAAUUGUACACAUCUAAUCAUAGACGCUUUGAAGAAAGGAAAAAAAGCAAAAACGCUUGUUAUGCUUGAAAUCAGAUGUCUUUAACCCUUUAAGUUUUGGUGCAACUUGAAAAUUACAUAUGAAUCAGACACUAUGGACUUUCUGAAUGCUUAGAGAGUCUAAAUUCACUCUGUUCGUACAGAUUUUUGAACAACCACUUUGUGCUAUAGUGAUUAGCUGAAAACUCACCCUUAAAAUAAGAAUCCAAAAGCAAAUCACUCAGCGCAUAAACAGAACAUGCUACUAAUACUAGUUUGAAGUCCAUCAUUCUUGAGAAGCAAAAAACCUCACAUCACCAUUCAGCCCAUCUGCCCCACUUCAGCACUCUUCUUGCAUUGCAUAGUUCCACAUCUAUAUACAUAUAAUGGGAUAGGUUUCGCAGAUCUAGAGAUAUUCAGUAAUGAAUUAUGGUGAUAAUUAGAAAACAGAAAAGUCCUCCAAAUAACAGGUCGGAUCAUUUCAAAAUUUGUUUACACAUGGUGACUGAGUAACCAAGUGAACACUCAACAUAACAUCAAUGCAAACCAAAAACUUCUUGAAUUACCAAACAUAACUUUAAAAAGAUAGAAAUUCUUAGAACAGUUAUUCCCCAAAAUAUAUGCAUUCUGCUUCGAUAUUAAUUGAGUUCUACCAUGCUUCUUUUGUAAUGUGGGGAUAUAAAUUUUAAGGACAGAAUGUACUAGUUUCCUAACAAUAAACGUUAUCUAAGUCUAAACUAGUUCUUAAACAUGCAAACACUUCCUUCUUCUCUUUUUGAGAAAUGGAAAAUGUAAACAUGCAAACACUUUUUUUUUUAGAAAUGGAAAAUGUAAAUAUGCAAACAUGAUCAAUGAUCCCAAUUGUGUGUAAACAUGCAAACUUGAUCAAAAGAAACAUAAAAAUAUAGAUUUGAGGAGUGCAAAUUUCCAUACCCCAAUUGUGUGUUUACACUGGGUUUGUUGUUGCGUGCAAAAUUUAGAACAGCUUAUGGACUGGCUCUUUUGUUUCCUAUAUUUUUUUUCACCUUGUACCAACCCAUUGAACCAAAAAAAAAAUUACAAGUUGAGAAAAAGAAUUGAUAAAUCAUAAUGUGCAAGUCAAGAAAGGAUGAAAUACUAAAGAAUUUUCAAUGAACAAUCAACUAUUACUCAAUCUCAAACUAGUUUGGAUCGGCUAUAUGAAUCCUCUAUAUCCAUUCUCCUCUAUCCAAGUACUAGAAUGUCUUUUAUCAGUAUGUAAAAAUAAUAGAAUGUUCAAUCAAGUACACCCAAAUCCCAAACUAGUUACGAUCCCCAGUAUCCAUUUCACUCAUAAAAAACAGUCUAUUUUCAAUCAGCAAUCCACUACUCUUCCAUCCCAAACUAGUUAAGGUUGACUAUAUGAACCCUUUAUAUAUAUUCCCCACUCAACAAAAACUGAAAAACUUUCAAUCAACACACAAGUACGCUUUGAUCCAAACUAGUUCAACUAUAAGAAUCCUCUAUAUCCAUACUUCUCCAUAAGAGUUGAACCUUAACCCCAAGCUAGUUAAUAUCAGCUACAUGAUUUAUUCAUUAUGCUCUAAUAACUGAAGAACACCUCAUCUUAAACUAAAUAGAUUUGGAUACAUGAUCAGCUACACCUCAAUACCAAACUUGUGAAGGUCGGCUAUAUGAAGUCCACAUUUGAGUCUAUAAGGAAAAAAAAAUUGAUAAUGGUAACUGAGUCUAUAAAAAUUUGAAAAACUGAAGAGUUUUCAAUCAAUCCACUAUCUUAAUCUCAAAGUAGUUAGAGUUAGCUAUAUAAAUCCUCUAUAUCCAUUUCAUUCCAUAGAAGUUGAAGAAUCUUUGAUCAAGAAGCAACUAUCAUUCCACAAUCCCAAACUAGUUAGGUUGACUAUGUGAAUCUUCUAUACCAUUCUUGUUCUACAAAACAGAAAAACUUUCAAUCGCACAGUAGUUAGGUGCAGCUAUAUGCAGGAGCGUAUCUAGAGUGUAGCAAGGGGAUUCACCCUAACCCCUCAGCAAUAAAUUACACUAUAUUAUAAGGUAUUUUUAAAUAUUUUUUAUGUAUAUUUAUAGAUUUUGAAUUCCCUAACAUAAAAUUAGAGGUUAACUUGGUCGUUGAGGGGUUUAAAAUUUACCUUGAGAUUCCAAGUUCAAAUCACAAACACUACAUUUUUUAUUUUUCAAACCCCUUAGCCGAAAUCCUAGAAAGUGUCCCCUUAGUCAAAAUCCUGGAGAAUAAAAACUAAAGAUCUCAAAAAAAAGUUUCGGAUUGAGGUGCUUAGUUUUUUUAUAAAGGAUUCAUAUUGCCAGUGUAUGAAUCUAACUUGUUAGGAUGGACUGUAUGAAUCCUAUCUAACCAUUUUUCAUUGUAUAAGAAGUGAAGGAUAUUGAACCAACAAUCAACUACUCAACCAAACACUAGUUAGGAAAUAAUUUCAAUUAGGGGUGGCAAUUGGGCGGGUUGGGUCAAAUUUGGACGAGUCAUAAUGGGUCAAGACUCAACCCAACCCAAAUUUGUUUGGGUCAAAAUGGGUUGGAUCAAAACGGGUCAUAGAGCAGGUUAAGACCCAACCCAACCAAAUUUUUAAUAGGUUUAAUUAUUUUAUUUGUUUUUUAAAAUAUUUUAGUACCUAAUAAAACUAGUUUUUUCUUAAUUAUGACUAUAUAUAACAUAUCAAAUUAAAAAGAUUUUGACAAAAUUUCUAAUGAGUCAAUUUGGUUUUACAUAUCCACUCAAUGGGGUUAUUACUUAAACGGGUUAGGAGAUUGGGUUUGAUUUUUCCACACCCAAUUUCAAUGAACAACCCAGUAAAAUGCUCAUCCCAGAUUAAUUAGGGUGUACUACAUGAACUAUAUCCAUUUGGUUCGUGAAGAAGUUUUGGAAUGUAAAACUAGAAUAUUUAAGCAGAACGCCAAUAACUGAUGUGAUUAAAACAAAAACGAACAGUAGUUGGGAAUUCAUCAUCAGAAAAAACAAGGGGAAACUCUUGAAUUGUUGAGAUUGAAGUGGAAAGACAAUAUUAAUUGAUUAACACUUAAAAUAGCAAAUCGCGUAUAGGAAAAGAGAUGGAGAAAAGGGGAGUACCGCAAGAAGAUUGAAUUUCGGAGCAAAGAACCACCAAUCUCUCAAGUGAUUCUGCAAGAGACGAUACCAGACGAGAGUCUACAAAUCUCUACACUCAUUCAGAUUUGCCAAAGACAGGAUAUACUACGUGAAUGUAUCCUGCAGCCAAAAUAAAAUUAAGCUAAAUCGCGCAAGGGGUGAGCAAAAAUAUCGGAAAAAACGAAUCAAAUCAAAUUAAUUCAAUUUUUCGGUUUCGAUUUUGAUUCGGUGGUUUGGUGUUAGAGUAAAAAAAAUGGUGUACCGAAAAAUUGCAAUGUUAUUAACUAAAUUUAAAAUAAUAUUUUAAAAUUUUAUUAAUUAUAUAUUUUAAAUUUUAAUCCAAAACAUUUUAAUCUUUUUACCCAUUCAAUUUCAAAUUUUAGAGCUCAGCCUUAAAACAAACAAAAGAAAACUCACAACCCACAUGUUACACAUCAUAGUUGAUAGCUAGGGGUUGACGUUCGAUUUGGUUCUAUAAAAUUUCUAUUCUGUAUUUCGGUAUUCAUUUUUGAAAGCAAUGUCAAUAGCCAAGUGUGUUUGUUUAACAAUUUUUUUCUGACAAAACUAUGUCAUAUGACACCUCAAACAUAGUUGCUUGUAAUUUCUAUAGCUGGUACAGUGGAGAUAUUAGAACUAUUUUAUAUACAUAUGAUUCUUAUAUACUUAGCAAAAAUUAACUUUUUGUAGACCAACUAUCCAUUCUUCAAAAAAAAUAUCUACUUGUUUAUUAUCUCUCAGUCACCUUAUGCUUAUUAUAUUGUAUUAAUUAACACUUGAUUUGAGGAUUUCUCAUCUGUUGGAAGAACUCUCUGCCAUCUUUUAGUAUAUAUAUAUAUUACAUUUAAUUGUGUGAUAUUCAUAAAAUAUGUUUAAUUGUGUUGGUAAAAUCAGAAUAAAUUAUCAAGAACGAAGAUUUAAUUUUUUAAUUGAAAAUCGUAAAUUAAAUAAGAUUGAUAUGAUUUAUGCUCGUAAUGCAGUAUUCGUAGUAAUUUUGAUAUUGAAAUCUGUCAUUCCAUGUUUGUUGAAGUUGAAAGAAUCGUCCAUGUUUAGAACGAAAUUUGUCUUAUGAAAAAUAACUUUUUCAUGUUCAGAGGGUUUAUCAUUAGAGAAACUUAUCGAAAUCUCAUAUAUUUGGGAGUUAAUUGCAUUUUAUUUCGAAAGUUUCCUUAAAUUUUAUAAAAAAUUCAAAUUCUUCAUUGCUCUCGGAUACAUUCCUUGAUUAUCCGAUACAUUGCAAAUGAUACAUUACUUAAUGGGAGGGAUGUGUACGAGAGAGGAUAUGGAUGUAUCUAAGAGGGGAGACAUGUAUCCGAGAGGGGAUAAGGAUGUAUACGGGAGGGGAUUUUUGUAAUUUUUUAAAUGGUAGGAAAUUUUAGCGAUUAUGAUAUCUUAGGUUGUGUAUUUAUGUAACUUUUCCUUAUUAUUAUAUUUCUGGAUAAGUAUAAUUAUUAAAGUGUUUUUUUUUGCGAGAAAUAUCUAGAGGGACGUCAUUUUUUUAUUCAUGUGAGGGUGAUUUUGAUUUUUGUUUAACCAAAUAUUUCAAAAAUAGAAUUGAAAAAGUUUCUUCCAUGUUUUUUUUUAUCAAUACUUAUUUUUUUGUAUUUAUCAGAUUGCCUUAAUCGAAUUUGAAUAAGUUUUUAGGCUAAUUUGUUAAUCUUAAUAGGGAGGUUUAGUUUCUCGUACUCUCUCUCCGUCCACUUUUAAUUGUCAUGUUGCAUUUUUUGAAAAUUAAUUUGGCUAAUUUUGAAAGUUAAAUUAGAUUACAUUAAUUCGAUAUUUUAUACAAAAAAAUUAGAUAUUCAAAAACUAUAUAAAAAGUACUAUAAAUACAAUUAUUUGCAUAUCAAUAUGAUGAAAAAAUACAUCACAAAAUGUUAGUCAUAGUUCUUGUAAUUUGACUUUAAAAAGAAAAUCAUGACAAUUAAAAGUGGACGAAAGGAGUAAUAUUUUUGAGCUGUAGGACAAAUGGACAAUCUAAAAAUAUAUAUGGUAUAAAUUCAGUUUGUUUGCAAUUUGGAUAGUUGGAAUUUAAAUUUAUUUCUAAGCCUCCCUGUGAUUUAUAUCCAAAGUAAUCUUAUCCGAUUCUACAUAAUAUAUAGUAGUUCCCCAGAUGGAAUUUCUUUUGUAUUAGUAUAUUCUUGAUAUCGUUUUGAUUUUAUCAAACUUCAAUUCAAUUGUUUGAUUUUUUUUAUUUUGAAUAAGUGUGCGCCAAACACUAAAUCAAGCAUAUUUGGUUUAGUUUAAUUUUUUCCAACUUUGAUUUGAUUUAGUCCAGUAUUUUUAAAAUAAUUUUAUUUCUCAUUUGCAUCGGUGUAUUUUGAAGAACUGCGAUCCUUACGCCAAACAUCGAAUCAAAGAAUCAAAGUUUCAGAAAAAAAAAAUCCAAAAAUCUAUUCGAAGAACCAAAUUAAUUUGAUUUAGUCUCUUUUUUUAUUUUUUGAUAUUUAUGCCCACCCCUCUGGAUAGUUUACUAUAUUUCAUCCGGUUAAUUUUAUCCAUAGGUUAUCUAGAAUAAAUUAAAAACUAAAAACGGCUUGUUUUGGACUUUUUGUUGAAUAUCAGGUGUCCUAGACAUUUUCUAAAUAUUUCACCGUGUUUGAUUUCCAUAAUUACAGAUAGGGAAGAAUUAUCGUUAUCCUAGAUAUUUUCCAAAUAUAUUAAAAAAAAAGAAGUAUACAAAUAAAUUAAAGCGGAAGGAGUAAUGAAUUUAUAGGCUGAAUGAACUUUGUCACUUAAUAGGCUAGUCUUUUGGGUAAGGUUACUUUCUUCGAAAAAUACCCUAUUUCUUGCUCAUCGUCUUACAUAAGCUUUUUGGAUAAAAUCUAAUUCAACAUCAAAUAUUUACAUCAAGUCAAUAUGUCAUUCUUUCGAAUAUAGACUUCUUUAACUCGGCAUGUGUAUUUAUUUUAUUAAAUUACUUAAUCAUUAGAAAUUAUAGUAUUGUUUUGGUAUAAACACCCUAUGCGGAUAAAUUUUUACCUGUUGUUUUAGAGGUGUCCUUUCGGAAAAGAAAAGAGCACAAAGAAACCAAAAGAAGGGGAGCAAAAAAGUGAUUCCCUCUUCCCCUAUGCCACCAUCCACCAUACAACAAAAGAAGACUUAACCAAAUAAUGAUACCUUUCCUACCAACAUGGGUUGUGGUACAGUGGUGAAACUGUUUCACCCUUAGUCAGAAGUCUCGGAUUCAAGCCCUAGAUAUGGAGAAAAUCCUAUUGGAAGCGCCAACUCCUGAAUGGGAGCUGCAAUGGGCGAUCCGAAUUUAGUCAGGACUCCAAUAUGAACUCCGAACACCGAGUGAGAAACCAAAAAAAAAGAUACCUUUCUUAGAAUUUGAUCUAAAGGAAGUAACCUGACAAGAAAUGGAAUGACUUCCUCCCUAAACCUCAGCAAGGAAGCUUUUGAUAUAAUGUUGAGACUAUCUUCAGAAUUCAACAAUCACAGUAAAUCAAUAUGGACAACAACUUCUUAUACCAACACUUAUCUGAAAGUGAUGAACCUGAUGAAAGUGACUUCUAUCUCCCAGAUUAUGAUAAUCAAGAAGAGGAUGAUUCCAACUUCAUAUACAUCAUAAACACAAUCUUAAGUGGCACUGCUCGUCUCAACGUCCUCUUACCCACCGCUACAAUACUUGCUUUCACCAUAUUUGCACCCAUACUAACCAAUGAUGGCCAAUGCAACAAGUUUGAGCAAUGUAUGACUGGGAUUUUCUUGAUCCUAUCGGCUGCUUCUUGCGUGUUCUUCUCCUUCACCGAUAGCUUCAAAUCAGCUACUGGGAGACUGCAUUACGGGGUGGCAACUUUCAGUGGCAUUUGGACUUUUAAUGGAAGGAGGAUUAAGCCUUGUGUGCCAAGAGAUUAUAGACUUAGAUGGUCUGAUAUCUUCCAUGCAUCACUUUCUUUGAUUGCUCUUCUUACAUUUGCAGCAUCACACACUGAUGUGCUGCAAUGUUAUCAUUUUGUUGUACCAAGAAAGGUCAUCAAUACUGUUCCAUUGGUGAUUGGAUUUGUCAUUAGUCUUCUUUUUGUGAUUUUCCCUUCUAGGAGAAGAGGAAUUGGGUAUCCUUUCUUGCUGCAAAGUGAUAUAUAAUGCAGAAAUUGUUGUUCUAAUCUUUUCAUUAUACAUGAAAACAGAGAAAAUGUAACUAUUCCAAGUGUCUUUAUCUUUAAAGUUGUUAGAAGUCAUGUUUUAAGACUUUCUUUCUUGAGCUAUAAUUUGAUAGAUGAUAUUCUUGGCACCCUUGUGUUGUGUUCUUGAAUCGACAUAGGCCGAUUUCGAUACAUGACUUUAUUUCUUGAACUAUAAGCCAACACUCGAUCCUUUUCAUUUUCUCUCUUUGAUGAGCAAAAUGACACAACCAGUAGUUCAUAAAUAGUUUAUCAAAAAUAUACAUCCAGAUGUUGAUUACCUGAUUCAUGUUAUAAUCUAAACUACUGUAAUUCAAACAAAAAGCAGAUAAAGCAGAAACUCUGUGCAAGAAACUCAUUUACAUAAUAAUAAUGAUAUACAAACACUAGUACAUGCCACUCUCAUUUAUAUACACAGCUACCAAUAAUAUGGUGAAAAAAGAUCAAAAUCAGAUAACAACAACAUACCUAAUGUAAUCCCACAAGUGAGGUCUGGGGAGGGUGGUGUAUCCGCAGCCUUAAUGCCUUACCCUUACUAUUCACAUAUAGCAAGUCUUUCCACAACUCUUAACUAUUCUCUAAAGUUGUAUGCUGGAAUUCUACCAAGGUCCUGUCAGUGUCCUUCUCAAGCAUCUUAACUUACUCCCCAAUGGCAUAUUCAUUUUUUCCAAUAACUGCAUUUAAUGGAACGAAAAGUUAAUAAACGACAGGACAGGCAAUCAAGUUUAACUAAUCACAUGCAUUUGUCUCGGUCUCUCACGUAGAACACAUUCACUUUUGAAAUUGAGGUAUCUUUGCAGGUGAUACCAUUUUCACAAGAAUGCAUGAUUAGGCCGUUCACUCAGGCAUAGCUAAUUUCCUUGAAACCUUGAUCUAUCUUCUGAUUCACUAGCUAAUUACCCUUAUGGCUCAUAUUCUCUCAACAUACCAUCUCUGUAUCUAGUCCAUAGUUACGCAGGAAACGUAGGUAGUUAUUGACUCACAGAAAGAGGUAUUUGUUAGUUGUAAAAGAGGCCAUUACCUGAUUUUUCUGCGGGUCGAUAAAUUCAGCCUGCGUGAAACAUUCAAAUGCAAACAGUUAUUACAAUAACUUUCUUGUAGUGAUGCUGUGAAUUUCAAUUUCAACAUAUAUACCUGUUUUUCCUGCAACUCUUCAUUAAUUUCUUUAAGCUUCGCCACUUCAGCUUCCAACUCUAAAGUAUAGGCCUGUCAUACCGAAAUACCAUAAUGAAGUCAUUCAUACAAAAUGUAAGAGUGUAAACAUGUUACUAUCGAUGUCUCCCCCCGCCCCCCUCAGUCUCAAAAUUACACCAAGUUAUAACUGAGAUUCAAGAUCCUAAAGCUUCAGUGAAAAGCAUAUACACUUCCCACAAGUCAACCUGCAGAGUUGAAUGUAUUUGCUUCAUAAGGUUAUAGAUAUGUCAAAGUUCUUUAUGUAUCUAUCCUUUUCCGGGAUAAUGAUAUGAUUAUCAACUUUGUUUAAUGCAGAUUUACCGAUGUUGAACAACUACAAAUGCAUUUUCAUCUAUGCAAUAUAAUUAGAGAAGAUGCUCUUUGAGAGGGUGUACAGAUAUUUAUGAUAAUGCUGUCAGUAAAUUCAGUUAUAUUUUUCUCAAUUGCAUGAGUAUAACAGCAUAAACACAAGAUAACUUCAAUAUGUAAAUAUCGACAUAUGAGUUCACCUGCUUCCGAGCCCUUGAUCUUGCUGCAGACUCUCUGUUCUUAAUCAUCCUCUUAUGCCUUCUUUCCACAACUUUUUCCAAAGAGCUGCAUGAUUUCCUCCCUCUUCUACCUUCAUUAAAUGCAUAAGGUGAAGGGGAAGGAGAUGGCCUGUUCAGUUUGUCGUUAGAAAUCAUUUCGGAUGACAAUUGAUUUCCAGGGGAUCCUCCUUUUGCUGGUGCAAAUGUAACACCACUACGCAAUCCUGCCAUGCCGGUAACUCCAUUCUGCAUAACACCGCCUUGAACAACAGUAGUAUUUACAGAACGACUGGAUGUGCUGACAACAAGAGCCCUCACCCUUGGGCUAGCCAGUUGGCAAUUGUUCCCUAAUUGCAUAGGAGAUGCAAAGUCAACAUUCCUUUGCUUGGGAAUAAGAGGUUGCUGCUGAUGAGGCUGCUGUUGAGAAGAUUUGACACUAACCACAUUCAACAUGUUACUCUCAGCAAAUUGAUUACUCAAAAGUCCGGGCCAUUGAGUUGGUUGCUGAAAAGCGAUGUUCAGAGCAUUGUUGUUACUACUCGGUUCACCUAAAACACCGGCGAAUCCAGCAUUGUUUGAGGUUCCAUUUGGCUGAUUAUCAUCUCUCACCACUCCUGCUCUUACCAAAAAUUCCUCCAACGUCAUUUCACCCAAAUUGGAUUGCUUCUGUCCAAGAUUGGAACUAACUGUUGUCUCAUUCUGGAAAUCUCUCCAUACUUCAUCCACAGUCCGCUGAUUAAGUGUCUGUGGCAGUGUUAAAGAACCUUGUCUCUGCAAAUUCCCCGCAGCCAUUCUCCCCUCUCCAACACCAGCAGAAGAUGCUAAGGCUUGAGAGUCUUCAGCUGUCCAAAUAUUCCUCAAGAGGUCCUCCAAAUUCAUCGAACCAACAUCCUUUCCGAGACCACAGGUACUCUGGAGCUCCUCAAAUGUCAAGGAGUACAUGGAAGAUUGUCUAGCUAAAGGAAAACUACCACUUCCCAAUGACUUCUCACCGUUGCUCUCUAUCUGUGGAGUGUCAGUAAAGUUCUUGAAGUUCAAGUAAGAUCCCAUUGUACAAGAACUCUCAGGGGAAAUUGAAAUCUGAUCAAAGGUUGAGUAAUAAGACAUUAUCAGGGAAAACCAGACUUAGUAUGAUACUAUAUAUCCUCACACUACAAACAAAAACAAUUUUCAGCGACAAUAAAUAUACACAUUAACAAAGAGUGCUAAAGCCUUUACCGGCAUUAGUUAAUUGUUAUUGGAUCCAAUAUCGCUAUACGCUUUAGAACACUUACAAAGAGUGUUAAUUACCUCUAAAAAUACAUAUUUAGCGGCAAUUAAACUAUUAUCAUUAAUAAAUUGCCACUAAAGACCAUUUUUGGUGUAGCGUCAACAUUUUAUGGAAGGUCUUAGCCACAAUUCAAACAGUAGUAAGAUGCAACCUUACUUCACUAUAGCUUUAAAGAAUUGAAAAUCAGCAGCUAAGAAAGUAGUUGAUAUUUGUUCAGAUCAUGCUUUUGACAUCAACUCACUUCAGGGCACUUUUCAAACGCGGGUGGAUCCAAUCUUAACGAGUAAAUAUUUCAAAACGUCACUCAACUAUGAAAAACUAUGUAGCAAAGUCAUUUAACUUUGUUUUGCAUCAAUAAAAUCACUCAACUUAAAACUCCUUUUCUCUUAUAUAUAAAAUCACUCAACCAAAUUUUUCAUCAAAAAACCCUAUUUUAUCCCCUUAACAUUUCGGAUAUGGGCUCAAUACCACUUCACAUUUUGAAUGGGACAAUAAACCUGAUAAUUUAAAUUUAAAAUGACAAACUGUGUUAUGGGUGUAAAAUGGGAUAAUUUGAUUAAAAAGUUAGUUGAUUGAUCUUACGGUAUACAAAACAAAGUUAAAUAACUUUGCUACAUAAUUCCUACCUAUUUUCUUUUUUAAUUUAAAGUGUACUCUCUAAUUGAAAAGAUAAAUAGUUGAUUCAAAAAUCAACUUCAAUCUCAAGUUCAUUCAUCCACUUUCAGCUAUAAGUGAAAUAUACCGGAACAACAUAUAUAUUAUGACAACCAAGAAUCUCAAUUUAUUAGUCUUCUGCAAGCUCAUUUUGAAUCCAAAAGGAAAAACUAAUCAGUGAAAAUUAGAAUAUUAACAGGUACAAUCUUUUAAUUUCAAAAGGAAAAAGGUUUAAAUAUGACAUCUAACUUAGAGAAAAGACUUUAUGUCAUUCGUUAAAAAUUAGCUCAUCAAUGUUAUAUUCUUUGAGAAAACACAGAAUACAAUAAAUCUGCCCUUUUAACUUGACUUCAUUUCAUAUUUGUGUACUUCAACUUUAGGUAUUUACAAGUAGUCACUCUAACUUGUACGGAGUUUUUAGGUAUGCACAAGUAGUCACUUUAAUUUGUGUGAAUUGAACAAGUAGACACAUGAGUUCUGCGUGACAUAAUACACAUAGGAUACCACGUAGGAUGAAAAUUGCUAUGCAGGAUGCCACAUAGUACGUGUGUGUCUAUUUGUUUAACUUUAUACAAAUUUAAGUGUCUAUUUAUGCACAAAAAAAAUUAGAGAGCAUGAAUAUGAGCUGAGACCAAAUUAAAGGGCAGGACAUGAGUAUGAGCUGAGACCAAAUUAAAGGGUAGGGCAUGAAUAUGAGUUGUGACCAAAUUCAAGGACAUGGCAUGAAUAUGAGUUGAGACCAAACUAAAGGGCAGGGCAUGAAUAUGAGCUCAGACCAAACUAAAGGGCAGGGCAUGAAUAUGAGCUCAGACCAAACUAAAGGGCAGGGCAUGAAUAUGAGCUCAGACCAAACUAAAGGGCAGGGCAUGAAUAUGAGCUCAGACCAAACUAAAGGGCAGGGCAUGAAUAUGAGCUCAGACCAAACUAAAGGGCAGGGCAUGAAUAUGAGCUCAGACCAAACUAAAGGGCAGGGCAUGAAUAUGAGCUCAGACCAAACUAAAGGGCAGGGCAUGAAUAUGAGCUCAGACCAAAUUAAAGGACAUAUUUAUGCCUUGUGCCUUGAGAAAAAGCUUUCAUGCCAUUAUUUAUUAAUCGAAAAAGCUCAAAUAUGUCAUGAAACUUCGAGAAAAGGCUCAUGGUCAGCCGUUAAAAGUUUGAGUCAUCUAUGUCAAUGAUUUUUUUCUCAAAUUUCGAUGGCAUAUUUUGCGCCCUUUUCCCCUUCCAUAAAGCAAAACAUUAGCAUCAUGCAAAAUGUUUGAUCUUUAAUUUUAUUUUUAUUUCAUGAGCAAAAAGAAGAAGAUGUGAAAAAGUAAAUACUCAUUAAUUAGUCUUCCGCAAGCUCAUUUCAAAUCAGGAAAAAAAAAACACCCAAAAAAUAAGCAAUUAUCUAAUAAAUCUGAAAACAAUUAAAAUUCAAAGCAUGAUCAAGAGAAGAUGUUUGAUCUUGAUUACUCUGUUCUUAGCCGAACAAACAAAUUAAAAGAAUAUAAAUAUGGAAAAAAGCAAGCUCAUUUAAUUAAAUAUUCAUUCAUCCAAAGAAAAGAGAAUAAGAAGUUGAAGAAAAUUAAUAAUUUAUAAUAAUAGCAAAUUAACAUUUCUAAGAAAGGUUAAUCAAAAUGGAAAAUUGACAAAAAGAAGACAGUGAGGAAAUGAAGAGAGUAGUAACAGAAUUGUACCUUUUUAAGAGUAUAGAGAGAGCAAGCGUGUCGAUCCUUUCUUCUUUGUUAAGUGUAAGGCUUAGUGAAAUCGACAAGUGUAUCUCUUGCUCGUUAAUGGUGCCUGACAAGGUACUUCAAUUCUUGUUUUUAAUUUGUGUUUUUUUUACUAAAAGGCAGAGAGAGAGAGAGAGAGUGUAGGCACAUAGAGGUGGGGUUUGAGCGUACGCUCAUCUAACUUGUGGGGACUUGGCGUGGCGUGGGGUGAGUUUGAUCAGAUUCGAUUCUUUAGUACUAUUUAUAGAAAACAAAGAGUAAUAUGAAUAAGUGUUUAUUGUGUUUUAUUGAACAAAUCAUGAUUCUUUGAGAAAAUUAUACUCCCUCCGUUCCAUUUUAUGUGAGGUACUUUGACUCGGCACGGAGUUUAAGAAAGAAAGGAAGACUUUUCAAACUUGUGGUCCAAAAUGAAUGAUAGAAAUUUGUGUGGCUGUAAAUCAUUUCAUUAAGGGUAAAAUAGACAUUUUAUAGUUAAAUUGUUACUUAAUAUAGAAAUGUGUCAUUCUUUUUGGGACUGACUAUGAUAAAUAUAUUAUCCAUCAAUAAAACUUGUAUUAUAUGUGUUUUAUAAAUUGUUUUAUGUAAUAUGUAUUAAAACUGUAUUAUAAAUAUAUUACUCCCUCCGUUCCAUUUUAUGUGAGGUACUUUGACUCGGCACGGAGUUUAAGAAAGAAAGGAAGACUUUUCAAACUUGUGGUCCAAAAUGAAUGAUAGAAAUUUGUGUGGCUGUAAAUCAUUUCAUUAAGGGUAAAAUAGACAUUUUAUAGUUAAAUUGUUACUUAAUAUAGAAAUGUGUCAUUCUUUUUGGGACUGACUAAAAAGGAAAGUAAGUCAUAUAAAUUGGGAUAGAGGGAGUAACUUUUUUUCUAUUCACGCCUUUUAAAAAAUACGGACGAGUGUGAUAUUUACAAACAAAAACUAAUUGCAUCGGAGAAAUUAAGUUUUCUUUGAACUUUGGAAAGUGGGCUGAAAAUUUCUCUCUUAUUAAGGAAUGAUGCUUUCUCCUUUUACUAUUGUGUAUGAGAUUAUACAUAAUAAUCAUAGUGAUCUAUUGACCCAAUUAUAACGUAAACUAUUUGUAUGUUCUAUAUUAUCAUUUAUAGUGUUGUCUAAGAAUGUCGCGUAAAGUAUUUUUUUUAGAACAGAAAUGAAAAUACACCAUUUAAAUUGAGGAUUAUGUAGACUUGCUACAUGUUAUGCGUCUAUGUUAACUAGAGUAUGAAGUUAACAAGCUACCAUGGUUAGCCUAGUCAACAUUGUUAGUAAGAGUUAGUUAGGAACUAGAAGCUUCCUACAGUAGCCUAUAAAUACAUCAGUUAUACACAUGUUUUAAGCGUAAGAUAUGUAAACCUAAAAUUGUAACUAACUUUUCAUGAUGAUCAGAGUUUUAUUAUCUCUGCAUUCAACUACUUCUUCUACUUAGCUCAAAGCUCCAUUAAUGGAGUUCCAUGGUAUCAAAGCCUUAGCAACUCCAUGGUAUCAAAGCCUUAGCAUUGAGGCUAGAUAAAUUGUUGUUAAGUUUCAGAGUAAUGCUUAGGUUCUCAGCUUUUGUUUCAGUAGAAUCGUGAGCAUUCUGUCAAGCAAUCAAGAUCCAAAGUUGUUCAUCAAUAGCAAUCACAACUGAAGUUGGAUCAGGAUUAUUGAAAGUUGGCAAUGUCAAUUCAAAUACAAAUCAUCCAACUCCUGCUACCUGUUACAUAGCUCCAAAUAUCAACCAUAAUCACUCUUGUAUGUACAAUCUAAUGAUACUCCAGGUGACUCUUUAAUCUCUUUAUAGCUUGAUGAGAAUAUAUUUCACAGUAAAUUAGUUAGUUAGAAUUAGCUACAGUAGAGUUAGUUACAGUCAAGGAGUUAGUUAGAGAUUCUUUCUUAUUAUUUUUCCUCUCUUACUUUGUAUAUAUACUUCAUCUUGUAAAUGAUUUAGUCAUUCAGUUCAAUACAAACAGUGCAAUGCACACAAUUCUUCUCCCUACAAACAGUUGAUUGUUGAUUUCUUCUUUGCUGCAUUCAAUCCUCCAUUAAUGGAGGAAAGCAGUUUCGAGCAGAGCUUAUGCUCUUAGUUUUGUCAUGGUAUCAAAGCGAGGAGGUUGUUCCUGAUUGAUUUUCGAAUUAGAAUUGUCUUCGUGAGUAUUAAGCUUCUUCAUUCUAUCCCAUUUGUUUCCAGUUGAGUUCAUCCCUGUGGAUUUGUGUCUUCGACUGUUUUUCUAAUUGAAAUCCCAAUUAUUCGAUCUCUGUUUUUUGAUUUUCAAUUGCGUAAUCAUUUUACUCUUCCUGCUAAACCUAAUUUUCCGCAUUCAUGGUUGAUAAUCAAGCUGAUCCAACAUUAGAUAAUUCUAGUUCUACACUGCCUGCUAGAAUGGACAUCACAAGUCCUUUCUAUUUACAUCCAUCAGAAAGUGCACGUUCCACUUUAUUACCUGCAAUUUUCAAUGGAUCUGGUUACAGAUCCUGGAGACGUGCUGUUCGUCGAGCAUUAUCAGUUAAAAGCAAAAUUGGAUUCAUUAAUGGAAAAGUUGUGCGACCUGAUUCAGACGAUCCAACAUUUGCACAGUGGGAGAGGUGUGAUGAUAUGGUGACUAGCUGGAUCCUCAAUUCUCUUUCCCCAGAUCUGCGUGAUAGCUUACAAUACGUCAACAAUGCUAAAGAGCUUUGGGAUGAAUUGGAAGAUAUGUAUGAUCAAACGAAUGGCUGCAAAUUGUAUCAACUUCAAAAGGAGAUCAAUGAUCUUGUGCAGGGGAAUUUAGACAUCACUGGAUAUUACACAAAAAUGAAAAAGAUAUGGGAAGAGAUGAGUACUAUUGAUGUUGCUUCACAGUGCACAUGUGUGUGUAACUGUGGUGGAAAAACCAGAAUGCAUAAAGCUGAACAAGACAGGCGUCUCAUACAUUUCGUAAUAGGGUUGAAUGAGCUCUAUACUGCUAUAAGGGGCAACAUCCUAAUGAUGAGUGUUCUGCCAGCAUGGCCCAGGCUUUUGCCAUAUUGUCACAGGAAGAGAGACAGAGGGAGGUGAAACCUCACAACAAUACAACAUUAGAAUCGACCUCACUUAGUGCCUCAGCUACUCACAACAAUACUGGUCCCAAAGGUUUCAAAACCAACUACAAUUCCUACAGAGGAAGUGCAAGUAACUCCAACACAUCUAACACUAACAACAUGUUCAGAGGUAGCUCUAGAACUAGCAAUAGGUCCAACUUGUUCUGUGAUUUUUGCAAGCGAUCUGGAAACACCAAAGAGUCUCCCUUCUGUCUAUGAAAUAGUGAGUAAUCACUAUCAGAAUGUGUGUAACCUUUUGAGCAAAGGCUACUGGCUAGUUUAUCAUACUACUGCCUGCUAGCCUGCUUUAGUCCAUACAAUGAUUUCUUCAACCUACAAACCAGCUUGCCACUACCACCUUCUGAUGGCAACACAGUAUCAUACUACUGCCUGCUAGCCUGCUUUAGUCCAUACAAUGAUUUCUUCAACCUACAAACCAGCUUGCCACUACCACCUUCUGAUGGAAACACAGUAUCAUAUGUCACUACAUGUUCCUCUAACAGUCAGCCUAUUUCCUCUCUUGUCAAUUGUGAACAUUUUGUUGGUGCAAGAAAGUGUCAAGCUUCGCCAUCAUGUACUGUAAAAUACCUUCCUAGUAUCAAUAAAGAAGCUUGUACUAUUGUUGAUUCUGUUGUCAAUUCAUCUUCUUUUGCUGUCAAUUCUAUUCACAAUCAUGAUACUGAAUUACUAUGGCAUGCUAGGUUAGGACAUGUACCUUUUGUGAAAAUGAGGAAUAUUUCCACCAUCCCUAUAAACUUUUCUACCAAACAGCCAUUCACUUGUACUAUAUGUCCCAUGGCUAGACAAACUAGGAUGCCUUUCCCUGAAAGCACAACCUCAACCACCAAAAACUUUGAAUUACUGCAUAUUGAUCUAUGGGGACCAUACCAUAUACCCACUCAUGAUGGCUAUCAUUACUUCUUAACCAUGGAAGAUGACCACAGUAGAGCAACCUGGACACAAUUACUCAGCUGCAAAAGUAAUGCAUUACAAAUUGUCAAGGCUUUUGUUUCCCUCAUAGAAAAUCAAUUUCAAACCAAACUAUAGACCAUUAGAUCUGACAAUGGUCUAGAGUUCAAUAACAAUGAGGCAACCUGUUUUUUCCAAGAAAAAGGAAUCAUACACCAAAGAUCAUGUCCCUAUACACCCCAACAAAAUGGAGUAGUUGAGAGAAAACACAAGUAUCUCCUUGAAACAGCAAGAGCACUCUUAUUUUAAUCCAAAUUACCUAUGAGAUAUUGGGGUGAAUGUGUCCUAACUGCUACCUACCUCAUUAAUAGAUUGCCUACAAAAUUACUACAAAAUAAAUCUCCUUAUGAACUGUUGUAUCAUACAAUGCCUACAUAUUCCCAUCUUAGGAGUUUUGGAUGCCUUUGUUUCCCAACAACCUUGAAAACCCAUAAAAAUAAAUUUGAACCAAGAACCACACCACAUAUCUUUGUUGGAUAUCCCUUUAAUACAAAAGGUUACAAGGUCCUAGAUCUAGCUACCAAAAGAGUUCAUGUAUCUAGAGAUGUACAUUUUCAGGAGUCUGUAUUUCCUUUUGCAAAUUCUCCUGUUGGUUCCAGUUUUGCAGCAGUUUUAAAGUCACUUGUUCAUAAUACUAACAUGUCUGGCACAACUAAUACAUUUGUUGAUGAGGACAUGUUGAAUUCAAACACAUCCCAUGGAGUUGUUAAUAACCAAGUAACUAACAAUGCCUCUGAACUCAUUUUGGAUCCUAACAUCCAACCUACACCUACACCACCUAAUGAUUCAACUGCUCUAGCCCCUAAUGAUGCUCCACCACCACCACUUAGAAGAACAACUAGGUCUGUCCACACCCCCACCUAUUUGAAGGAAUAUACCUACACAUUUCCCAAUCUGCAUUCCUCCACACCUAUACCUAACAAUCCUCACAAUUCUGACCCUUCACACUCUCUCACUUCCCUCAUUUCCAACCAUGAUCAUGUCUGUUUCACCACUCUAUGUUCUAUUAGUCAGCAGUUGGUAAAGCAUAUCUCACAUGAAUGUGAACCUUCUUCUUAUGAAGAGGCAAUUUUGAAUCCUGCCUGGCAGUUGGCAAUGACACAGGAAUUUGAAGCAUUAUAUGCAAAUGACACUUGGGAGUUGGUCCCUUUGCCUGAAGGCAAGAAUGCCAUUGGAUGCAAAUGGGUAUACAAGAUUAAACACAAGGCAGAUGGAAGUGUGGAGAGAUUUAAAGCCAGAUUGGUAGUGAAAGGGUACACUCAACAGGCUGGGAUCGAUUAUAAUGAGACAUUCUCACCCGUGGUUAAGAUGACAACUGUUAGAAUUUUGAUUUCAUUGGCUAUUAAGAAGGGGUGGAAUUUAUACCAAUUAGAUGUCAACAAUGCUUUCCUUCAUGGUGAUUUAAAUGAGGAGGUGUAUAUGACACUACCACAAGGACUUGCUGUGGAUAGUGGUAAGAUGGUUUGUAGGUUGAAGAAAUCAUUGUAUGGACUAAAGCAGGCUAGCAGGCAGUGGUAUGAUAAACUAGCCAGUAGCCUUUGCUCCAAAGGUUACACACAUUCUGAUAGUGAUUACUCACUAUUUCAUAGACAGAAGGGAGACUAUUUGGUGUUUGUUGCCAUCUAUGUUGAUGAUAUAAUAUUAACUGGGACUGAUUUGGAUGAAAUUGCUUCUCUGAAGACAUUUUUACAUAAUCAGUUCAAGAUUAAAGAUCUAGGGAAAUUACACUACUUUCUGGGAUUGGAGAUACUAUAUAGAUAUGAUGGUGCCCUCAUUUCAUAGAGGAAAUUCACUAUUGAUCUUUUAAAGGAGUUUGAUUUAAUGGAUUACAAAGCCACCACAUCCCCACUGGAUUCUUCUGAAAAACUUAAAGCCACAGAUGGGAAGUUAUUGACAGAUCCUACUCACUAUAGAAAAUUGGUAGGGAAACUUAAUUUUCUCACAAAUACAAGGAUGGACAUAGCAUACAGUGUUCAACACCUCAGCCAGUUCAUGCAGUCCCCUAGGGAACCACAUUUGAAGGCAGCUUACCAUGUCCUUCGAUACCUAAAGCAAGAUCCUACACUGGGAAUAUUCAUCUCAAACAAACCUGAUCUCACAGUGACUGCUUAUUGUGACUCAGACUGGGCUACUUGUCCAGAUUCUAGAAAGUCAGUCAGUGGAUACUUGGUCCUUAUGGGUGAUAGUCAUGUUAGCUGGAAAUCCAAGAAACAAGCCACAGUGUCUCUAUCUUCUGCAGAGGCAGAGUACAGAGCUGUGAGGUAGGUGGUGGGGGAACUAGUGUGGCUUGAAAGAUUACUUGAUGAACUCACAGUGAAAUGUUCUCUGCCUAUGCAUGUAUUUUGUGAUAGUCAGGUUGCUGUUCACAUUGACAAGAAUCCAGUCUUCCAUGAAAGGACAAAGCACAUAGAGGUCGAUUGUCACUUUGUUAGGAACAAGCUUCAACAGGACUGGUCACACUCCAUCACAUCUCCACAACCUCUCAACUAGCAGACAUAUUCACCAAAGCCUUGACUGGGAUCAAAUAUACAACACUCAUGAGCAAGUUGUCUGUGAUCACAUCACUUCCAACUUGAGGGGGGCUGAUGAGAAUAUAUUUCACAGUAAAUUAGUUAGUUAGAAUUAGCUACAGUAGAGUUAGUUACAGUCGAGGAGUUAGUUAGAGAUUCUUUCUUAUUAUUUUUCCUCUCUUACUUUGUAUAUAUACUUCAUCUUGUAAAUGAUUUAGUCAUUCAGUUCAAUACAAACAGUGCAAUGCACACAAUUCUUCUCCCUACAAACAGUUGAUUGUUGAUUUCUUCUUUGCUGCAUUCAAUCCUCCAUUAAUGGAGGAAAGCAGUUUCAAGCUAUGCAAUCUGGAGUUGAUCCAUGAGAAUUGGACUUCUAGGUAAGAGUAAGCUAGGUUUUGUUGAUGGUAGAUUCCCUAAAUCUCAGUUUGCACCUGAAUUGUUUAAUAUUUGAAAAAAAUAUAAUGCUAUGAUUUUGUCCUCGAUUAUGAAUGUUGUUAGACAUGGUUUGUUGAGUUGUGUAUUAUACGGUGGUAAUGCUCACAAACUGUGGUGUGAUCUAAAGGAAAGGUUUGAUAAAAUCAAUGAUUCAUAUAUUUUCCAAUUGCACAGAGAAAUUCAUAGCCUCACUCAGGGUACAAUGUCAGUUACAGACUAUUACACCACUUUUAGAGGCUCGUGGAAUGAGUUGGAAUCUAUUAUGCCAUGUCCAGGUGUUCAUGUGUUGAAUUUGUGAAGUUUAAUGAGCACUUUGAAUAUCAAAGGCUACUGAAGUUUCUUAUGGGGUUAAAUGAGUUCUACUCAAUAGCUAAAGGUGAUGCAAUUUCCAACUCCCAACUUGAAUGAAGCCAUCUCUCUGUUUAUUGAUCAUAAGAGUUAACUUUAUUCACUCAGAAAAGUGGAAGUGUGCUCCUAGUCCUAAUCAUGGUAGUGCUUACUUUGGUAUGCAAUCAGUAGGGGAUGGUCGUUCUGGAAGAAGUUAUCGUGAUCACCAACAUAAACCACAUAAACCUCAAAAGCCUCUCCUUAUGUGUGAAAUGUGUGGGUACAAAGGUCACACUAAGGUUUAGUACGUUAAAGUUAAGGUUAUUCAGUUGGCAGAAGGUCCAAGAAAAUGUGUGUUGACAUUGGUUCAUAUGUUAAUAGUGUUGAUGUUGUUUAGUCUGCAGGUCUGGCUAUAGGUGCAUCUCAAAAUAACACUGAAGCUCCUAACUCGAUUCCCUUAACUCAUGCUAUUUUUUUUCACACGAGACCAAUAUCAUGAGAUCUUACAAAUGAUGUCUAUGGGAAGUGAGAAGGGAGGAGAACAUUCCUCUAAAGCUGCAACUGAAGGUAGUUUCUUGAUUGCCUUAGUGUCAAAAUAUGUCCAUAAGGAGUAUAUAGUUGAUAUUGGAGCAUCUAAUCACAUGACUUCUCAGUUUGAACUCUUAGAUAGAAUCAAAGUAGUGCCAAAAUCUAGGAGGAAAAUGGUUAAUUUACCUACUGGAGAUGUUGUUUGAGUUUCACAUGUUGGUAAUACUAAGGUUAUUGGUGAUCAUAUCAUUGAGAAUGUGUUGUUUGUUCUUGACUUUAAAAUGCAACCUUCUCUCUGUUUCACAGCUUAUUAAAGAACUUAAUUGUAUGGCUGCACAACAUACUUGAAAGCAUAUAAUAAGUUUAUUCAACCUAUGACAAAUAUGAAGAUGUGGCCAAAAAACACAAGACCAAGCAUGGAACCACUUGAAAUAACCGUCAUGCCAGAAAGACUAGGUAGAAAUAAGAGAAAAAUCGUGAUGAACUUAUUAAGAAGAAGCUUGGAAAGCCUACGGAGAAGGGAAGAAAAAUGAAAUAUUCUGUGUGCGAAACUCUUGGACAUAACAAAAAAGGAUGUCCAACUCUGGUAAGUUGUGCUUUAGUAUUAGUAUUUUUCACUAAAUUUGACACUUUUUAGUUGUACUUUUGACUUUAAGAUAUGUUUGUAGCAAAAUGCUGGAACUUCAACUGCUGAAACUUGUAGAAGUGAUAGAGCAUUCAUUACAUCUGAUUUUACAAUACUACAAUUGAAAGUCAACCAAGUGUAAAUGCAGGUACAAGUGUGACACCUACCACAAGUGUGAGGCCUAUAAUUGCCUCAACAUCUGUGGAAAGGCCUACCAGUGCUACAUCAACUGGUGUGAGUUGUGCAAUUGCCUCAACAUUUGGAGAAAGGCCUACCAGUGCUACAACAACUGGUGUGAGGCCUACAAUUUCCUCAACAUCUAAGGAAAGGCCUACUAGUGCUAUAUUAUCUGGUGUAAGACCCGCAACAAAUCUAUUAGGUACUCAACAAUUAACUUCUAGCGCUGUUGGUCAAAAACGAAAGAGUAACACAACUUUAAGAGGUGGUACAACUCUUAGAUAUAAGAAACCAAGACAAAAAAAAUACAAAAAUAGUUGGUUAUGGUGUCUUAUUUAGAUCAAAUGACAGUGUAAUUGCGAGGGUAUGCAUUCUAUCAUUUAGAGACAUUUAACUGAUAUUAGUUCAUCUAUGUACAAUGUUACAUAGUCCUACAUUGACAAGUUCAACUCCUACCAAUAUUGAUCUUGGUUACAAAUUCAAUGGACUAAGGUGGAAGAGAAGAGUUGCAAUUACUCAAAGAAAGCUACGAGAGGAGAGUUACAGAUGCGCUCAAGCCAACAGAUGCUCAUGCCUCACCACUCAAGGCACACAUUAGAUUCCUCUUUGUUUAGCUUAAUGACUUGAUCCCAACAAUUUUGGUUUUGCCUUCAUUUUCGACUAUUGUUAAGUUGUUAUUCUGAAGACUUUGUUUUUGUAUAUGAAUUUGUGUUUGAAUGUGUUAAGGAGCUAUUCUGGAGACUUUUUAUUUUAUUUUAUGAAUUUGUGUUUGAAUGAAGUCAAUGCCUUAGUUAAGUUGCAACCAAUGCAAUCAACUAUAUAUUGAAGCCAAUGUCUUUGUUAUGCAAUUUCAUUAUCAUUGCACAUCCAUAAUACAAAUCAAUACAUCUUAAAAUAUCAACACAAUAAUCACAAUAACAAUGAUAUCAAUACUAAUGUUUGAUCUCUCUUGCCUUCCAUGUCUUUCUUGUCUUCCUCGCCUUUUAUGUCUUCCUUGCUCUGAAUUCGUUGAUGGGUUCUUCAAAUUGUAUUGUUCUUGACAGGUUGAAUUAUUUGCAUCAGCCCAUCGAAAGAAUCCACAACCAUUACCAGUUUUGACAACCCCAAAACAUUCUUCCAGGAUUAGUUGGUGUCCUUGACGACUUAAGUUCAGCAUAGAGUCAACAAUAGCAACAUCGAGCUGUCAUGGUGAAGACCAACAAAAUACAACAAACUGGAGUUGCAUGAAAAAAAAGAGAUGAGUAGAUCGAAGGAAAAACAAAUAAAGGAGAAGAAAUUUGGAGAGAGAAGAUCGAGAAAGAGGUUAGAAAAAAUGCUCUAUUUUGUCCAACAAUUGUGUCGGGUGCAAAGAAGGAAUAAAAUGGUCUUUAGACGAUCUCCAACCCCACUCUAUUUUACUCUCCAUUCUCUAUAUUUGGAGAAUAAAAUAGAGAAUUGGGUCUCCAAUCACCCUCUAAAAAGCUCUUUGUUCUCUAUUUAUAGAGAGGUGAAUAGUAGUUCUCCAAAUUUGGAGAACUACUAUUCAUCCUCUGUAUUUCACCUUUUUAUUAAUUUAAUAUUAUUUCUAUUAUUUGUAACUAACAUAUUAUUUUAUUAUAUAAGACUAUUAAUAACAUUUCUAAUAUUCAUAAUUUUUUAAAAAUGUAAUACAACAUCUUAAAAAAUAUAUUAUUUAAUAUAUACUACUUUCAUCCCGAAUUAACAAUAUUUCAAAUAUUCUUUUUUCAAUUUUCGUCACUUUAAGGGAUAAUUUGAUAUUAUUAUUGAUUUUCACUAUGAAGAAUGCACAAAAUUUAAAUGAUAAGAAGAAAAUUUUAAUUUAAAAUAUAAGACAUGACAUAAUAAUUUAAAUACAAGAUAACAAUACAAUACAUAACAUAAUAAUUUAAAAAAAUUACAACAGUAAUUUAGUAAUCAUGUAGGUCGUUUCAGAUUUAACAAUAUUCGAAAAAAAUAGUGUUUGAUCUAGAGAAUUGUUGUGCUUGUGAUUGCGGUUGUGCUUGUUGAUUUAUUUUUUUCAAUUAUUCGUAGUUGUUCUUUAAAAUUUUAGAAUAAAAUAUAAUUUUAUAUUAAAUAAAGAAUUUGAAAAAUAAAUAUUUUAUAUUACAUGAAAAUUAUAUAGAGCGAUUAUUUUGAAAAAAAAAAAAGAAAGAACAAAUUUAUAUUAUGAAAUAAGAAAAUGAAAUAGAAAUAUAAAUAAUAAUGUAAUAUUGAGGAGAGAGAAAAAAAUUCUUUUUUAGAGAGUAAAAUAAAGAAUUGAGUUGGAGUUGAUUGUCUGAAAAAUAGAGAAUUUUAUAUUUGGAGAGUAAAAUAAAGUGUAGGGUUGGAGAUGCCCUUAAAGCUCAAAAAAGGACCGUUAUAGCCUUUUUAAAAGAUCUCACGCUUAUGUUUUGUGUGUUUCAAACGCUCCGUGCAGACUCUUGCCAUAUAGGAUGCCAAGUAAAAAAUUGUGUCUAAAAUAUUGAGUUUCGAUGAGUUCAGGGGACAAAUGGGUAAGUAGAAGGAUUCACAAUACAAACUCAUACAAGUAUAAGAGUACCCACCAGACCAUUUCGUCAAAUGUUGUAAUGGCUCUCCAGGUCAUUUUCUCCGUUUUUUGAUCUUUUCUGUGUUUAGAGUUUUUCCGUAGCGAACCCAAGUCAUUUAUGACUUGUUGGGACUGAUAUUUUGGUCGCUGGGUCAUUCGUCUGGGUUUUGUGUAAGUUUCUGUGUUUUGAAGUCUUUGAAACUUGAACGGUUGACUUCAGUCAAAAGUUCAGCAAGACGAUCUUAGAACACAAUUUCAACGGUUUCACUAGCUUUGGAAGGGUCAUUUUAGGCUAGGGCAUGAUUGGUUUGGGCCUCGAGACUUCUGGUGUGAGUUUGUGUCGUUAGACUUUUUUCUUUGAAGCUUAAGCUAAGAUUUAACUUCGAUCGACAUUCCGGAGCUUACUAGCUGGCAAAAGUUUUAUCUAACUACUCCCUCUGUCCCAAUUUAUAUGACUCACUUUCCUUUUUAGUCAGUCCCAAAAAGAAUGACACAUUUCUAUAUAAAGUAACAAUCUAACUAUAAAAUAUAUAUUUUACCCUUAAUGAAAUGAUUUACAGCCACACAAAUUUCUAUCAUUAAUUUUGGACCACAAGUUUUAAAAGUCUUCCUUUCUUUCUUAAAUUCCAUGCCGAGUCAAAGUAUCUCAUAUAAAAUGGGACGGAGGGAGUAAAUAAGAACGUGGUACUCAUCUUCAUGCAUUCAAGAUUCACUUUGACUAACCAGAUAAGAAAAUGGCUUCAUACCUACCCAUUAUAUUAUUUGUUAUUUGACAAUCAGACGUGACAAUUGACGAGAGACAACUAAAAUAUCUCACAUAGAUAUUUAUUCAUCUUAUAAUCUCUGUUUGUUUGAGUUUCAUUUAUUUGUUGUUCUCCACUUGGAUUCUCUUUAAGAAUAGUACUUCUCAAUUUAUAGCUAAUUUAGCUAAAUUGUUAAGAUGAACAAAAAAAGUAUUUUUGGUAAAAAGUAAUUUACAUUUUACCAAUAUAUUUUAAAGGAUUACUUUUGAACAACAAUUAAUGUUUGGUCAAACAUUAAAAAGUGUUUCUUUAUAUAUUUUUCUUAAAGUGAUUUUUUUUUAAAAAAUAAUACUUUUUUUAACUUCUUAAAAAUAUUUUUUGCCAAUCUUUGAAAGCACUUAUUUUACAAAAUUCACUUGAAGGGAGAACAAUAAAAACCAAACUAUAAAGAACAAAUAAAAUCAUUCAUCCCAAUUUACAUUACAUGUGUUCAUGGUGGUUUCGUGGAAAAUCAAACUAAAUCGCAAAUUAAAUGAAAUCAAUUUAAAAAAAUUAUAUUUUAAUUUGAUUUAAUUUAAUUUCAUAUUUUAAAUAUUGAUUAUAUUUUAUUUAAUUUUAGUAUGGUGAUAUAUUAAAACUUUGACACAAUGCUGAAAAAUAAUUAAAAAUUUAGAAAUGUUGAUCUCUUAUAUUCAUUUGAAAUGGUUGUUUCUUGUCUCUAUUGUUUUUCUAUUAUCAAUUUCUCAUCAACUAGUUAUAAAUUAGAAAGUCAAACCAAACUGAUAAUUUUUAUUUUUGUUUAUUUUUAUCGAAUGUAGUAGUUUUAGUAAUUUAAUUCAAAUGAAACUUUUUUUUUCCCUUCAUAUUGAGACAUUUCAAAAUAUACUUUAAUAAAAAAAAUAAAAAGGUACAAAAGGGACCCACCCUUCAAACGUUUCUAGAAAGUUCCUCAAAACCCCAAAACUGUCCCUGAAAAAAUAUCUGGCUAUCAUUAGCCCAAGAUAUUAUGAAUACUGCUGACGUGGCGAUGUUCACUGUUACUGCCACGUGGAAAAGCGUCGCCACGAAGGAAUUUCGUGGGGCCAUCACCGUAAAGUCCCCCAACUUGAGAGAGACCAGAGGGUUCUUUUUCUCUUCUUCAUUGUUCUUUGAGAUCUUACAUUCACGGACAUCGGAAAUGGAGGAAAGCUGCCGGAGUGACUCGCCACUGUCGUCGGAGAGUUGCAUAGACGUGUUGACUCGAUCGAACUCUGGCGAGUCUUCUUCUCUGAUAAUUGAGAAUUUCAAACAUGAUUUAGUUCAGACUGGAAGUGUAACCACGGUAAUCUUAUAUUCUUUUCAUCUUUUUUUUUCUUGUAUCUUUUGUAUAUUUAGAUAGGAGAUUUUUUACGUUAGAUUCUGUGAACGGCGGUAACACAAUUUGCUAAAGAAUCACCUAGUUGAUUAUAUAUUCGUGUUUCGUUAUGUUUUCAGAAAGGUAUUUGCUUAUAUUUGAGAAUUUUAAUGAUGAUUUGUUUUCAAGUAUCGUGACUUUAUUAUUCAAGGAGACGGGAAGAUUGACCAUGAUGUCACACUUCAUGUUGGUGUUGGGUUGAUGAGAUGGAUGCUUGCAUAUGGAGUCUUGAGUGAUGAAAAGGGACUGCCUAAACUUAAGGGCAAGUUCUACGUGUGGUGGUUGGACCUUCUAUGCAGUAUGGGGCGGAGUGUUGGCAAGUUAAGAAAUCUCAUGUUUAGAAGAUGAAAGUUGCGGAUAUAAAAAAUGUUGUGUUGGAUGUGCGACUAUACUAGGAGUGAUUAGUAAUGAAGAUAUACGGGACAAGGUGGGAGCUGCCCCGGCGGAGGAGAAGAUGCGUUAAGCAAGACUAAGAUGGUUGGGGAAUGUGAAACAGAGAUGCACGGAUGCUCCUGUGCGGAGAUGUGAGAGGUUGAUUAUGGAUGGUUCUGGAGAGGUAGAGGUAGGCCCGAAGAAGCAUUGGGAAGAGGUAAUUAGACAGGACAUGACACAGUUUAGCUAAGCGAGGACACGACUUUAGAUAGGAGGUUGUGGAGGACACGAAUUAGGGUGGGAGGUUAGUAGGUAAUAGAGCGUUGACUCACUUAUCUUUCCACACCUAGUAGUCGUAGUAUUACUCAGGAAGUUCUUGUCGUUCGAUGGCUGUUGUUUUAUUGCUCUUCGAUUAUUGUAUUAUUUUGUUGUAGUUAUGUUUUUUUUCCCAGAAUGCUUUGAUAUGCUCUCUCUCUCUCUAUGUUUUUUGAGUUGAGGGUCUAUCGAAAAUAAUCUCUCUACCUCCUAAGGUAGGAUCAAGGUUGGUGUACUAUCUGUAGAUCAGAUUGAAGAUUUUAUAUGUGGAUGUGUUAUGCUUAAUUAAGUUCUGUUUUUUAUCUCGUUAAGAAAACAUCUUGCAUGGGAUAAGUUUGGUUUAUUUUUAUGAUGAAAUGGCGUUUACUUAUCCAAAAAAAAAGGUGCAAAGUGUUUUAUGAUUGGAAAAAAAGACACACUUCAUUAUUGAGUUUGGUAAGGUAAGAAUAGAGUCUCUGUGGUAGGCAAUGGUCUAAAUAUUUGUCAGCUUGCAAAUACUACAGACUGCAAUAUUUGCUCACACAACUUCUGUCUCUGUGAAGCCGCAGUGGAGUUGUAACAAACAUCAACCAUCCUGUGUAACAGCACAGUUGUGUGUGUUAUUCUUCUCCUUUUUUUAUCCCUCUCUUUCCUUGGUAUUGAGAUGAAACAGGCGGGGGUUUAAUCAUAUGGCCAGGAAUGUUUUCUCUUUAAAAUUAGCAAAUUGAAAAUAAAGCAUGUAGGGGAUUAAUGAUGAACUUUAAUGUCUUCCUUCAUGGUUAACCGUUUCCGCUACUUCUCAAAAAAAGAGAGGAGGAUUUUCCAUUGUGCAUUACUUGUACAUGAGUCACUUUCACCUUUUUAUUAGGUUUUCAGAUAUUCGAACAAACUAACUGAAGGCUGGCUGUUGAUUACUUCAUAAGUAGCUUUAAAUAGCUGAUGUAUCUUAAGAAUAGACUUAGCAUGUCUGGCAGAAUGGUCUUUUCUUAUUAGCAGUAAUUUAUGCUGAUUCAUUUGUUUUAAGUAGUUGUAGUUUAUCAUUGAUUCCUAGUCAAUGAAUGUCAUUAUUAUGUUGUCGCUUUUAGAACCCAGUGUUCUUAAAUGCUAUGACAACCAUUGCUCGAUAUUAACUAAAUAUGGCCUAGUAGUUUUCUGAUUAGUAAAGUAAAAGUUUAUUGCUAUCAUAUCACCCAGAAGGUGUCUCAAAAAAUUACAGAAGAGUUGGACCGCAAUCCUUCAAAAAUUGUAGGGCACGCCUGCUGCAUGAGUGUGUCUCCCUCUUUUGAAGGUUUCCCUGUGUUAUACAAGCUUCAUGCAUGGCUAUCCAACCAAACCUGGCCACUAUAGGAGAUUAGGAGGAACCUCUACCUUCCAUAUCAUCUUCCAUGGCAGUUGCCUUUCACUUCUCUUGCCUGCCAGCACGUUAUAGCUUGAUUCCACAAUGAUACCAUCCUUAUUGGCUGUCCAAAACAAAUAUGUCAAGAAAUUUGUAUGCACUUCUUGGAUAUUCAUGCAUACUCCUGGAGAUGCAGUCAAUCACUUGCUGCAGUCACACAGAUGUUUCGUCUGAAAUCCCAAUGCAUUGGUAAGGUUACUCUAGUCUGAAGAAGUACUUCAAAGUUUUCCUAGUCUUUAAAAUCAGAAGCUUAGACUUACACUAUUAAAAUGUGUUCCUACAAAAUGCUCUUGUUCUCAAAUACCUUAGGUUCCCUAGUCUCUCCAUGCAAAUCUAGUUGUAUUAUCUCCUUUGGUUAAUUUAAUUUUUUAUACUAAGAUUUGGUGUACAAGUUAUUAAGAAGGUGACAUAAUUGUAUCCUAUUUUCGACAUAUCUGGCAAAGACCCACCUACUCUAUUCUUGAAGUUUCUUGCAGAUAUAUAUGCUGCUUUCUGUUUAAGGACUGACAAAUUUGAACACCUACUCAGCUUGUUAAAAAUUGAACAGUACCUUAACUAUCGGUAUUGUGCUACUUUUUGCUUUCAGUAAUUCUACAAUACCUAGUGUACCUAUGUUUUUCAACAUAUGACUGUUUGGUUCCAGCUGCUACAUUAGAAGUUGACAUUAUAUAUGUGCUACCUAAUCAAUCAUGCAACAGAAUCACUCCAAGUACAAGGGAAAAAUUUGACCUAAUAAAGUUUCUUAGUUGAUUGGGAGAUUACUAUCUGUAGUUAGCUUUGUUUCUAUUACCACUAUUGGAAAGAAAGACAAGGAGAGAAGCAUAAGAAAGUGAAAUGUUUUUUAACAGUGAAUCAUAGAGAAAAGAAAGGAGAACCACUAUUCCACCCAUAAGAAAGAGAAAGUAGAACUAUUAUUAAGCACCGAGGCUGCAGAGGCAACUAGUGUCACAUUGGACUCUUUUCAAAAAACAUCUUUCUGACUUCAAGAGAGUGUUAGGUCCUCCUUCUGGGGAGUACAUGAGGGAAGAGCCCUCACUCAAUUUCCUCUCGUAUAUCAAUAAAUAGAAGGAAUACGACUAACAAUAUCAGUGAUGAGAGACUGAGGCGAAAACAUUGUCUGCUGAAGGAGAAGGGGAAACUUGUUGGCCCUAAUGUUAUUAUGAUGGUCAAAGUAGAAGUACCUUUUUGGAAAUGGGACGCAGUGUAGAACUGUAGAUAGUGAAUGAUGUUUCUGGGAGAAGGAAGAUAUUUUGUGGAUCUCUAGAGAGAGUAGUUUGGGAACUGUUCAAGUGUUGAAUUUGCGAUAGAAAUAUAUUUCUAGUAAGCCUAAGAUUUCCUGUCACUUCAUUUCUUCUUAAUUUCCCCAAUUCAUUGCUCAUUAAAUUCUCCUGUUGCUCCAAGCACUAGUGUUUUUAUUUAUAUAUCUAGCAAGCACUAGUUUUUUCCCCAGAGGUUUCUACAGUGACAUGACCGUGAUAUCUUCCAAUUUUGCUUUGUAUUCCACUUUAGUCUUCCGAUGCUACUUUAAAUUUAAUCAAAUUUUACUUGAAUUCUCUGUUUUCAUCUCUUUCACCCUUCAUAGGACUAAACCUUCUGUUUUUAUAAGUUCAGGAUGUAACAAAUUGUGCACCUCUUUUUAAAAAUUGCAUAUUCGAGUCUUUUUCUCCAUACUACCAAGAUUGUCAGGAAAAGAAAGAGUACAAAGGCAACAACCUGAACCACUAUCAGAAUGACUGUCGGAAUUGGUAGUUGAAACUUGAAAGGUACAACAAAGGGGUUGGUGGUAGAUAGAAAAUGCAAUGAGCUAGAGUACCUUCAAGUGUUAUACCAGUGUUAAAAGAUUGCUGUCUAUUGAAAAUUCCAUAUUCAUGUGUUUUUCUCCAUACUACCUAGAUUGUCAGGAAAUGAAAGAGUACAAAUGCAAUAACCUGCAGCAGCAUCAGAAUGUCUGUCGGAAUUGGUAGUUGAAAACUUGAAAGGUACAACGAAGGGGUUGGUGGGUAGAUAGAAAAUUCAGUGGGCUAGAGUUCUUUUUAAGUGUUAUGCCAGUGUUAAAGAUUCCUGUCUAUCGAACCAUUCUAGCCUUAGAGGAUCUCAAAAAUUUCAAACAUUUUAUCAAGGAUUUCACAGAUCCCUACCCCCAUAAAGUAAAAAGUCUUGUUAAAAGUGCUUACUGCUCCUGGUUUCUGUGCAUUUUACUUGCCUGUUAAAGUGGACUUAUCAAAAGUAUUGCCGUGCUACCACUUUAGUGCAUCAUGAAAGUGAGAAAAUAAAGUGCUCAGUAUGCUUAGGUCACUUGUUCAGACAAAUUUCAUGUAUCUGUGCUCCCAUAGUGGGUGAUGCCUUCAGCUUCCCGUUCGUUCUGAUUAAAUUUUGAUGUGUCUGUUCAAGGGAUGAAAACACAAUGCCAAAUGACAGUCUAUUGAAUUUUUUCUUUCCUUCAUUUUGUCUACUCAUGUGCUACGCCGUGGAUUCCCUUACGAUGUAGAGCUAGGGUGCUCUUGUUAGUGAAUUAAAGUAUAAUGAUCCCAGAGCUUGGAGUUCAACCCACUUGUUGAAAAUUGUUCAAAAAAUGGACCUUAACCUCAAAAGUUAGUUCAUAAGGUGAGGAUUAUCCAUGACCAUUUAAGGAGACACCAUCCCGUUUCCUCGAGCAAUGCAGGACGCUUAAUACCUCCCUCUCCCUGGCAUGCCCUGGCUGGACAUCUGUAGAAUGACUAUAUAACAUUUGGGACCCGAACAUUAGGUAAACCAAAAAUAGGAAUAGAUUUGGCUGAAAUAUUAUAUUAUGGACCUAACUCAACAUCCAAAGGUAGCUCAUGAGAUGGGGAUUGUGCAAGAAUGUCGAGAACAUAUAAGGAUACAACUCAUUCCUUCCAAUCAAUGUGGGACACUUCAGAUCCUCCACCUUACCCUCUAUCACACUCAGACCUCAGACCUGGCUAUCUGGUGCAUGAGAACAUAAUAUAAGAGCCAAACAUAGGCGAAACCAAGUUUAGUGAAGUGUUUGGCUCUGAUAUCAUGGAAAAGAAAUAAACCUUGGGCCUAAGUCAACCUCAAAAGAUAGUUCUUGGUAGAGGCGUAUCUAGGACUUUAAGAGGAUGGGUGAAUCUCUACCUUUAAGAUAAAUGUUUGAUUUUAUAUGUUGGACCACUGUUAUCAAAAGCAAAAAGCUCUAAGGUCCAUUGGGGCUUUAAACGCAAAUGAGGUGUGGGCUUUAAUUAAUAACAAAAGGCGCCAAGGGAGAAAACAUACAAAUAUAUAUAUUUAAUCCAAGGCUAACAAAUAUAAGCAUGAAUGACAAAUAUAUGAAUAAAGAAAUUGAUUUUUUUCUACGAUAAAAGUGAAAUAUCAAUUGUUUAGUUUCGGCUCUUUAGAAGAGGCUCAUUGUCAAGGAAAAAUAUGCCUUAGAACCUUGAUGACAACACCAAAGCGCACAUUAAGCAAGGUGAAGCGUUCAACACGUUUUGAGCCUCGCUUUAGGGCAUACACGUGACUUUAAGAACACUCUGUUAGACUAGGUUGGUUGGCCAGCGUGCCCUUUUGACCCUUCUCCACAUAUGCGCUACCUGAGUUUGAAUCUCGGCUACAACAAUUUGGUUAUCAAAAAAAAAGAUAAAUGUUCGAUUUGAUGUAUAAAUUCUUAUGAUGUCAAAAAAUUGAUGAGCAAAUUAUAAUUAAUACAAUUAUCACAAGAAAACAUCAUCCAUUCUACAAUUACCCUCGAAAAGUUUCCUUACUUUGAAAACUAUCGAUAAUAGCAUUAUUUUAAGUACCUUACAUUCUAUAUAGCAAACUAAGCAACCAUUCAAAUGCAAAAAAAUUCUGUUCUGGUACUUCAUUUCUUGACAAAAUGCAAAAAAUAAUAAAUUAUUGGGAGAUUAACCUUUCAAUUUUGAGGCUCUCUUUCUUUGAACAAACACUUGAAUACAUAUUUCUAUAAACUUCAUCCGUGAUGAUUCUCAAGCGAGUGUAUGAGGAGAAUGGUACUUCCUCCAGUUAGUUGUCAUGGUUACUAAAAAUAUGUCUAAAAUACUUAUCAAUUUAGAAAGAGAAGAUAAAAUUAAAUAUUUUUUCCUGAUAUGGCCUUAGUAUUAGUUGUUCUUGAAAGUAAAUAUUGAUUACAUAGCAUAAAGCACACAAAUGGAGUGCAUGUUUAUUGUAAAGAGAUAAGGAUAGGUUAGUCAAGAAGUACAUGUUUAUAAUUUUUAAGAGACUGCCAAAAAAGAGGAAGUACUCAUAUUGCUGGAGAUUUUGAAACUUAAGUCAAAACAAUAUCAAAGAAAGAAAUGAAAAAUGAGAUGGAAUGCGAGGGUCUCUAGAAAUUGAAAAUUGAAAAGUCAAAGGAAUGAGCUAGACACGCUAUCCAAGAAAGAAAAGGAAACAAUAAAGAAAAAGUUGCAUUUUUUACUAAAAAGUCAAAGAGAGAGCUUAUGGUAAGCAGAGGUGGAUUCAGGAUUUAAAUGCUAUGGGUUCAGCCUUAAAAAGUUAAAAAGAGCUUAUGGUAAGUCAAUAACUAGUGCUAUCAUUAUUGGAUUAAUUUAGUAGAUAACUGAAGAUACUUGACACUUUGAUCUUCAGGAAGUUCAAGGAUACAUUCUUUAAUCUCCUUGUGAUUCUCUUCACUAACUUGUUAAAAGUUAGAAAAUUCAUAGAUUUGCAUGUUCCGUAUUUUGACUUCAGGAUGAGUGCAUGGGAUGGACAAAUGAGAAGCACAACACAUUUCUUGAUUGUCUUGAAACUUCAUUUGUUAAGCAGUUGCACAGAUCAAUGGUCUUGCGUGCUGGCUGUGUGGAACUGAACAGGAGUUCCAGAAAUUUGUCUAAAAAGCUGUUCAACAAUGAUAUAGCUAAUAAGCAGGUCAGAAAAUCACUGAUACUUGAAUUCUCUGUUUUCUGGAGCUACCUCCCACCCACUCCACAACUCUCCAAAAAGAAAAUCUUGUUUGAGAGUUUCUUUUCUCUAUUCCAGUUCACUGAUUGGCGAGAUGGAUGUUGGAAGAUCAAUAUUGAGAGUGACCAACCUGAGCUAUUGGUUGGGCAGGGUGAUGAGUACCAUCACGUUGCGGAUCUCCAAUUAUGUUCUAGACUCUUUACUGAGGAAAAGCAAAGAAGAGAUAAGAGGACUUCAUCUCAUGGACUUGAAGAAAGAUCGAAUCUGCCCCUUCCCAUCCCUGCAGAACUUCAUAAAACAGUUAGCAGAACUGCUGGUAAGCUACUUCAUCAUAAUAUGCAUAUUCUUCUUACUUCAGGAGUUAAAGGUUUUAGUUAUUUUAGUAUUAUCAUUUAUGCCAAUUGCCAAACGAGGUAAUAGAUUUCUCUUGUAGUACCUCUCUCUCAGUUUUGUUUGUUCUGUAUCACAGGGAUUUUUCUGGAAUUGAAGCAUAAAUGAGCAUUCAAUAGGCAUAGUUUAGGGUGGUUUUGCAUUCAUUUAGUGAUCAGUAACAUCUAAACCUGGUUCCUUGUAUGCUCAUAUAAGGUAACUGCAUCAGUCAUGUGCCACAGUUCCUCUGAUAAGUAUAUAAAUUGUCUGCAUGUGGUCAAGAAUGGUUGAGUUCAAACAUUCAUUGACCUGCUACUUAAAUUGUAGAGUACGUGAAUCAGCUUCAACAGUUUUUGGUUUUGCGAGUUAUUUAUCAGUGUGGUAAGCAGUUUGUUGGGAUGACUAUGGCAGGGGACAUUUUCCUUUAGGAUAACAAACUAAACUAGUUCUACGUGUGGUAAGCAGUUUGUUGGGAUGACUAUGGCAGGGGACAUUUUCCUUUAGGAUAACAAACUAAACUAGUUCCAUUUAUGUUUAAACUUUUCAAUUGCUAUGUCUUGCUCAAGAGAGUUGGAGGAACAGUGCCAGAGUGGAAAGAUGAACACAUCACAGAUGCUUUGGCUUCGUUAGUACAGUUUCUCCAUGUUUUAGUGGAUGUUGCUGAUGUUAAUGUUGUUUUUCUUGCAAUGUCUGGAGCAUUAUUUGCUUAAACUUGGUCAGGUCUUGAAAUCCAUAUGCCAAAGACUAAAACAGAACCUAUUUGCGUUCAAAUAUGUGAUCAUUGUUGAUUUAAACCGAACCUUGUAAUAGUGGCCCCACAUUCCUCUCAUUCUUGUGAAAUUUUUGGGCUUAAAGAUAUAAAACAUUGCAUUUGAUGACUAAAUGAUGAGGAAAUUUAUUUGGAAACAUGGCUCAAUGAAGGGGUUUGCCUUCUGGGUCGAGCUCGUCGCAUCGGGCUUGCCUAGUGCAGGUUACCUCUCCUAUGUGGUUUGCGAGCUAUUGCAUAGGAGCGGGAGUUUUACCCUGUGCGCACCCAAAGGGUAGCGGCUGUGGGUUUCUCUUGUCAUAAAAAAUAAAAACAUGGCUCAAUGAAGGAUAAGAGGAUUGUUGUAUAAACUUUGGAAAGAAAGGGGCUACUAAUGCAUAGCUGAGUCCUCAUAAUCACAUGGGAUAUAUGUGUUGCAACAUUUGUUCAAGUUGUGCAGUUACUGUCCAAAUUCUGCAUUAGACUUUCUGCAGAUACCCAGUUAUAUUACCUUCUCCAUUCGGAUAGAACUUGAGUUGGAAAAUAUCAGUAGUCUGGGAGCCAGUGUUGAUUUUAUGGUUUCCUCCUCCUCUUUUUCUGAUGUAAUCUUCUUUAAAUACUUCUCUUAGGUUUUUCUCUUCCGUAUGGGGCAUUGCUCUUAUAUAUAUACAUACACGUAAGAAUUUGCAUCAUGGUUGAUUCCUGGUUUCAGCAAAACCAGGGUAAUGAUAUGUUUAUAGCUCAUGUGAAUUAUACUUCUGUAAGUUUCUUUGAUACUGAAAUUUAAAUAUACUCGCAGAAGGUUCAGGUCAGAAUUUUGUGGAUGAAGAUUUCGAAGAAAACUCGAGGAGCAAAAAGCUGAAGACAGCCAUGACAGAUACUGCAGACAAUGAGCAAGUAAUGUGCAUCUUUGACCCUCUAAUCAUGUUUAAAUUGUUUUUUAAGGUCCCAUGUCUGAUCAAUGUACAUGUACCUUUUAGAUUGUUCCAACCGGAAAAUUUAGAGUCCAGGAGUUGCUAACGCCAUGUUCCCACAGAAAGGAAUAAGUAAAUCAACCACAACCUUGUCCCAAGGUGAUGUGAAGUCUUUUUUUGAACGGCAGAUAAGGUGUAGUGCAAUGCCGCAGAAACAAUGCUUUACAAACACAAGCUGGUGCGUGUUUAAUGAAACGACAUUUGACAAGUUUGAAGGUGCUAAUUACAAAAGAUGAGUUUUGUUUUUCUGUAGAAAAAUGGGUCAGUUUUUAGCUAAUACAGUAGCGACUAGGAAAAGAAGUUAAAUCACAUCUGCAUAGAGUUUUUCUCCAUUGCAUUAAAUUUGUAAAUGACAUUUAGAGAAAGAUGUUAUGAUAUAAAGUUUGUGAAUUUCGGUUUUUGUGUUUUAUGUUAUACAAAGUUAUUUAUACUAUAUAGCACAAUAAGGGAUAAGACACAAGUACCCUUUAGACUAUGAUGAAAAUCUCAAAAAUACACCUUCAUUAAACUAAGGUUCUAUUACCCCUUGAACUCAUUUUUUUUGUAACUUUAUACACCUUUUGACUUAUGUGACACACUCCAUGACUCCACGUAGUUGAGACGCGUGAGAGAUAUUUGGAUGCCACAUAAGCCAAAAAGGUGUACAAAAUUACAAAAAAAUUGAGUUCGGGGUGGUAAUAGGACCUUAGUUUAGUUAAUGUGUGUCUCUGGAACUUCGAUCAUAGUUUAGGGGAUACUUGUGCCUUAUCCCACACAAUCAGUGUAGAUGACUCUGUACAGCACAAAAAAAUAAUCUACCAGAAGGGAAACAUAAACUCAUUUAUGCAAGGGCGGCAAAUAAUUCCCUUUAUUACGUGGUUGCAAAUAAUAAAGUGAUGGACAAUCAAGUGAUUUAAUUAGUAUUAUAAUGAUGAGAACAAGUGUUGUCCAACUCAAGAGAGUUGUUUGGUUGUUUAUUAUACUACUAAUUAUAACUAAAGCAAUUAAGUAAAAGUAGAUAAAUAUAUAUAAUAUAAGAGUUGUUCACAAAGUUAUUAGAGUCUACGGGUAUGUUCCUUGUGUAAUUCAAUGGGAAAAUGCAUAAGUACCCCCAAUUUAUGUUCGAAAUCUCAGAGACACACUUAUACUAUACUAAGGUCCUAUUAUUCUCAAACUUAUUUUUUAAAUAAUUUUCUACCCCUUUUCGAUCUACGUGACACUAUCUUCUGGGCCCAACACGUGUUGACAAUUUUUUCAACCUAUCUGGUUGAUAGUGCCACGUAAAUCGAAAAUGGGUAGAAAAUUAUUUAUAAGUGUGUCUCUGAGAUUUUGGGCAUAGGUUGGGGGUACUUAUGCAUUUUCACUAAUUCUAUCAUAUUUAUUUACCGUUGAUAAGCAUAAUUAAGAUAUCUAACGGAUUGUUGAGUCAUAAGGUUGAUAAUAUGAUCAAGGUCUUUUGAGCCUCUAACCUUCUACGUAGAUUAGCAAUUCAAAACAAGAUACUUUUAUUAAAACGGUAUAGCCUCCAAAACUGACUCAACAACAUCAUAUUCAUGGAAAAUUCAAUCAUAUUAUCAAGCAAAAAACCCAAAUAGAUCACCAAGUUUACAUCACUUACGUGCUCUCGCUUUUCAAGAGAGAUGCCCCGAACACAUUAAUAUUUAUCACAAUUUUUGGGGCAUAUGAAUGAAACAAUCUCACUCAUAGUAAUGAUACGGUCGGUCAUUUUUGGAAAUUUUCAUGAAUUUACUGUUUUCCCAUUCUGUUAUCGAUUCCGAGUCAUUUAUGAUUAAGUUUGAAAAGUUGGUUUUGAACUAUAAGUUAAAACUUGAGAGUUUGGUAAGUUUGUGAUUAAAGGCUAAGUUGUUAAGAAAGUGACUUUUGGAGUCUUUUGGAGUUUCGAGUGUCGGAAUUGAAUUUUGUUGAUUCCAUCAGUCUCGCAAUGUGAAAUCUAAGUUGUGAGAAUUGUUGGUUUCAGUUUCUGAGUCUUUUUGAAGAUUUGAGAUCCUAAGUUGUAAAUUGUGGAAUUUUAGCCUUUCAGUUGACUUUGGUCAACAUUCGGUGAUGAUUUUAGGCCUAGGUGAGGUCUUGGUUGAUUUUUGAGAGGUCCCGAGCUUGUUUUAGCCUUUUAGGUCUCAGUUAGUUACUUGUGGUUUUCACGAAUGUCAGGUCGAGGAGACCUCAGAUUCAUGUUUUCAUGGUUCCAUUGAGUCUGAAACGUCGAGUAUAAUUGGUUUGCAUAAGUGGUUUGUGUCUACAGGGUUCCAAAGGAAUCCCGGGGGUCCUUUCGAUGAUUAUUGAGUUGGUUGAUUUUCUGUGUUCCGGUGCAACCUUCUACGUUUGUGGAGGGAUGGGUGAGAACCCCGCGUUCGCGGGAGGUCAAUACGUUGACCUCCGCGCUCGUGGGAGACGUGUUGCGUUCACGGAGGUCCAGCUCAUUAAAACUCGCGUUCGCGGGUAGGGGUCUGUCUUGGCAGUGUUUAAACCCAAAUUUCGGGGUUUCAUUCUCAUUUUCAUUUUUGGAGCUUGGAGAACUCGGUAGAGGUGAUUUCAAGUGGGAUUUUCAAAAUAAAAUUUUGGAUAGUGUUUCUUAACUCUAAAUCUUCGAUUACCCAUUAUUAUUAUUGAAUUUAUGAGUUUAAAUCAAGAUUUUGGGUUGAUAAAUUGGGGGUUCUUCAUGAACUUGAGUUUUGAAGUAAAAGUGAGUUUAUGAACUAAUGUUAAGUCCUUUUUCGAAAUGAUUUUCCCUAAUGAGUUCCUAAAGCCUUGAGUAAUGUUGUCAAGUAUUAAAUUUUGGAUUCAAACCUUAUUUUUGGAAUUGGGUAUUGUGUUGAUUGACCCACCUUUCAAGGGAAUUGUUGUGGGUGUUGUUGUUUCCGAAAAGUGAUUGUGAAUACUUGCUUGUUUAUAGAUUGUUUGUCUUUGGAAGUGAUUCAGAUGGGGAACACUCAACUAUUGGAGUGAUUGUUGAUUGAUUUAAGGCAAGUGGCUUCCUAAACCUAGUAUUCUAGUUGAAUUCGUAUGCUUCCAUCGUUGAUUGUGUGUUGGAGUAAUGGGGAUAAGGGAAAGGGUUUAAAUUGUCCACUUGGUUUAUCUAAAUGAAUAAAAAGAGGUUGAAAUGAAAAAGGCUAUAUGAUGAGCAUGAUAAUGUGAAUUGCCUUAUUGUGACCCUUGAUGAUUGAUUGAUGAAAUGCUUGAAAGUAUGAUUUUGGACUUGAAUUGUAUGAUUUGGUGUCUCUUCCAUGUGGUGUGAUAUUGCUUGUAUGCAUUGAUUGUGAACGCUGUGAUGAGACAUGUGAUGCAUUAUUAUGCGGAGGUCUUUGUCGGCGAGUGUUACUAUGCUGAGGUCUUUGUUGGCGAGUGUUACUAUGCCGAGGUCUUUGUUGGCGAGUGUUAUUAUGCAGAUUAUUUACCAGUGAGUGUUAUUAUGCCGAGGUCUUUACCAGAGAGUGUUGUUAUAUCGAGGUCUUUGCCGGCGAGUGUUAAAAAGCCGAUAGGAAAUGGUUCCGGCUAGUGAUGUGAUAUAAAGCCGAUGGAAAAUGGUUCCGGCUAGUGAUAUUGUGCUGAUGGAAAAUGGUUCUGGUAAGAGAUUGAUAAUUAUGACUUGAUGCUUAUGUGUGACUUAUUUGUGGGCUGUGAUUGAUGUACUUGUUAUGUGUGACUAAACUACUUGUCAUUGAGAUUGACUUAUUUGAUUGUUGAAUUGUGAAGAUUGAACUAUGAAUAUUGGGUCUGUGAGUCGUGUAUUGUAGAAUUGCUAGACUGGCUAAUUUCUGUGCAGGUUGUAGUUUGAGGAGGUUCGGUUAGAGUGUAAGGGAUAUUCGUUUUCUAGCUAGUUGAUUUGUUUAGUAGGUUGCUUGUUGGAUACUGUAUUGUUGGUACUCACUCAUUGGUUCUACACUUGUGUAGGUUCUGAGUUCAGACCCAUGUGAUCUUCUCCUUUUGCUUCUCCUGACAGUCGAGGCGCGUGAAGGAUUUGAGAGGUAGUUGCUUUACAUCCUGGCGGACCCUCUUUUCCUUUUUCUUUAAGCUUUGUUCUACUUGAGAAAUAAAAACUGAGACUUGUAUUUAUCUUUGAAUUCUGUAAUUUCAUUAGUGUCUAGUACACGUGACAAUCAAGUUUUGGAGUGUUGUUAGAAUGAAUAAGUUUCUGCCUUAGUCUUGUUCUUGCUUUACUGUUUUUCGCAUUUUCUUUCUUGUCGUUGGAUUUAGGCUGACUUGUCUUGAUGGCAAUAGACAAAUGUCAUCACGUCCAUUUUUGGAUCGUGACACUCACUCUCACAAAAGAUCAUUCUCGUGCACACAAGAUAUCACAGGCUUUCCCUUAAUGUACUCCAUUAACUAAAACAUAAGAAAUAUAGGAUCAAAAGGACUUUAUGGGUCGUAAUAUCGGCUAAGGGGUGGAUAGAAACUAUUUGAUAAAAUGGUGACUUCUCUCUCUAUCCACUUUAAGACAACUACUUCAAGCAUUUUCACUCUUUAUUCUUAUGUCUUUCCAAUUUCAGUUUUUUCGUACUUCCUUUAUAUUUUUCCCUUAUCUUUAAGUAUUCAUCCUAUUUUUUCACACAUUGUUAGCAAUGCGACUUUUUUUGUAAUUCUUUUUAUUUUUAGAACUUUUCUUCUUUCUCCUUUUGAUUUCUCUCCUCCCUAACAUACAUGUGAUAUUUUCAUUCAAGGGCAUACAUCUACUCUAUUUGAUUGGACAAAAAACUUAAGUAUGUAUAACAAUAGUUUUUUUUCAUCUACAUAGCAAUAGUUUUUUAUUUCAAAAAUAGAGUUUAAUAUAGAAAAAAAUGUAGAAAUAGUCAGUCACGAUUUACUUAGAUUCCCCGAUUUCCUUCAAUUCUUUUACCUUCCACGAUUUACUCAAAUAGGUAUUAUAUUCUCUCCCAUCUUAAAAAGUUUUUUUUUAACAAAAAUAAAACUCUCAUUCUACUCAUUCUAGUCUACUGUUCAAUCAUGGAUACCAACAAUUUUCAAUCCUAAUUCAACACAACUGACGAUGGGACGCAUAAGAUAAUUCUGAUAAAUCACGAUUGAAUUGGUGUUUUUUUAAGUGAUUGUUUUAAUGAUUUUAUUAAAUAUAUUUGGGGUUUUUUUCAUGAUCGUUAUCUUGUAAUCUAUUGUGUUGGGUAUAUGUUUUUUUGUGUUACAGUCUAAAUUAAGGGUGUUUGAAUUUGGCUAUAUUGAGUGGUGUAAUUGAUCGUGUAAUUUGUGUUGUUAUUAAUCACCAAUUUCGUGUUAUUUUUUGGUAAAUAUUCUUUGGUUUAAUUUGUAGGGUUUUGUGUUUUAUUAUAAGAUUCAUAUGUAACACCCCAAAAAAUUUUGAGCUAAGACUCGAACCAUCCUUUAUAGUGAGUAAGUUUUUACCAAGGAAUUUAAAAAUUUUCCUAAGUGUUAAGGUCACUAGAUGUAGCACCUUGAGUUCCAAAAAGAACUAAAUUGGAAAUAGCAAAAUCUGAAAUUUUGCAAGUUAUGAGUUUUGGGUCAACUUCAAACAACCAUAACUGUCAGUACAAGAUGAUUUAGAUGGGCUAAAAGAUAGCUAAUGAAAGGUCUUGGAAUUAUCUUUCCAACGCCAUCGAGUUUGCUAAGUUUCGAGGUCGGAUGAGUGAGAUAUUCCCUUUUGAAGUCAAGUUGUCCAGUUAAGGAAAGUUAUCCGAAAAUAGUAAGGGGUAUUUUGAUCUUUUUCUUACCCAAUCAGAUUUAAUUCAUUUUUUGUAAGGUUUUAAGGGUCUAAUCCUAUUAAGUUCAAUUUUAUAAUCCUAAUAUACGCCUAGGGUUUUAGUUGAGAGUUCAAGAAGAGAAAAGAGGAGAGGAUCAAAGCGUUCGUCGAGGUUCUUGAGUUUUGUUGCGGAUUUUCGCCAUGAGUUUGAUUCCUAAGAGGUAUGUAAACUUCCAUAGUAUUGGGUUUGUUCACCCACACGCCAAUCAUGUUAAUUUCAGUGUUAAAUUCAUUCUAGAAAGAUGAAGGUUUGAUGUUCUUGAAUUGUGUUCUUGAAAUUGGCUUUCGUUCUUGAGUUUAGAUGAGAUUGAUGAGAUCUUGAGGAAAUCGUGUCGAUUUUAGAGUUGUGUUUGAUUAGAUUCUUGUGUACAUAUACUGGGUAUCUGAAUCUAAAGAGGAAUUGAGAAAAAGAAUCGCAUAUAGGCGAAUUAGGGUUAGACAACGAAGAAAGAAAAAGUCGGGUGAAACUGGCACCUUGCUUCGCGUCGCGGACCCGCCUCCCCUUUUCACAGAAUUUUUAUCCAUGUCGCGGAGAGGUCGCGGACCCCUCUGCCUCAAAAUUUAUUUUGUGACCAAAUAUUUAAAUUCAUUUCCGCGUCGCAAACUUGCUUCCAGACAGUGAUUUCUUGAUCGUUUCUCGUGUUUAACUAUCUAAAAGCACUCCUAAUCAUCAUGAUAUCUUUCCUAUCACAAAUCAUAACCUUGAAUUCAUAAUUCAAAUUCAAGGUAGAGUUAAGAGUCAAGCUGUCUUGAGAGUUAUUUCGAGUCUUUUGAGAAAGUUCCUUUGAAUCUUUUGAGGAGUCUUCUACAAAUUCUAAUAACUUGUUUCAAGACUCGAGUAAGUGGGUAUAAGAAUGAAGAGAACAUUUUCAUGAGUCUACAUUAUCAUCACUAGAUCCUUCGUAUCAUGAACCAUAACUCUUGAAUUCAUAAUUCACAUUCAAGAGAGAAUUAAGAGUAGAGUUCAAGAAAACCAUUGAGUUCAAUUGUGAAUCCUUUGAGAUCAACUAUCGAUUUGAGUUGAGUUUUGAGGAAGUAAGUAUGAGAAUGAGAAGAGUUGUAUACAUGAAUUCCAUGUUAUUAUUUAUACCCUUGAGUCAAGUCGUUCAUGCCCAAUAAUUCCGCAUGAACUCCAUAAGUUGAGUAUCUGUGAGAGGAGUAGUAUCUUCAAGUUCUAAGUCUUGAGUAUCGAGUUCCUAACCAUUUCAAGAUUAUAUUCCUAAUCAUGGGAUUAUUACAUGUUACCCCUGAAGUCCGUGAGUUGACUAGUUCAUUCCCAUAAUUCCGUAUGAACCCUAUAUUUCGAGUAGUCUUGAGAUGAGAAGUAUCUUCGAGUCCUUGAGUUGAGUAGUUCAUGCCCAUAAUUCCGCAUGAACCCUCUGAGUCGAGCAUUCUUGAUAUGAGUAUUACCAAUAAAGUCCUUGAGUUCUGAGUUGUUGAGUCUCGAGUAUUGAGUUCUAGGUAUGGUUAUUGAAAACCUUGAAUUGAGUCGUUCAAGUCCAUCAUUCGACAUGAAUCCUAUUUUGAGAAGUCUUUAACAACUUUUUCUAAACUUGUUUUAAGACUUGAGCACUUGAGUUGAGAAAGAGUAGAGUCGAGUUCAUUUUCUUUAAAAUGAUAUAUGGGAACUAAGUAUUCCCAAGAGUAAAUGUUUUCACAUUUAAGAUGAGAGGAAACUGAGAUUUCCAAAAGAGUUUUGAGCAAGCAAGGGAACAUCGAUUCCAAGAGAGCUUUUAAGAUAAGUUUUAAGUAAUUAUCUCAAACCAAAGAAAAAAGUUAUGUUUUUAAAUAUAUGAGGUGAGUAUUUUGGGAGUAGUAUUGAGCACCGAUAUGGGGACGAGUUCAAAGACGUUGUAUCAUCACAUAGCUCAUAGUGAUGGUUGUCGGUUAGAGAAUCUCCCACAGAGUUAUAUUUUAUUCAUAUAUACAAAUUGAGUUGUUAUUGUGUUCUUCAAUACAUUGAGUUGCUAUCUAAUGUUUUAAAAGCUUUCCAUUUAUUGCAUCUUUUAUUGUUGCUUUAUUUUUUAGCAUCUUGAGUUGGACUGUGCUUCAUUGAGUCAAGUACCUUAUUGUUGGGUUGAGCCCCAGUACCUUUGAGUUGAGUAUCAUAUCAUUGAGUUGAGUAUCUAAUCUUGAAUUGAGUAUCUUGAGUUGAGUUGAGUAUUUAAUCUUGAAUUGAGUAUCUUGAGUUGAGUACCUAUGAGUUGAGUAUCAUAUCAUUGAGUUGAGUAUCUAAUCUUUGAGUUGAGUAUCUUAUUCUUGAGUUGAGUUUAGUUGAGUGAGUUGAGGAGAGGUAAGUAUGUUUCUUUUUAAUCAAGUUCAAGCCUAUGUUAUGCUUUAGAUUUCCCCUUACAUGCUCGUACAUUUCAUGUACUGAGCCAUUUGGCCUGCAUCGUUUCAUGAUGCAGAUACAAGUAUUCAGGAUUAUCAACAGACGCUUCGUUGAUACCACUUGCAGUUCCAAUCAGCUGUGGUGAGCUUCCUUGCUUCCGGAGGAUUUCAUUUACUUUUCAGUUGUUAGGAUGUCGUGAGUCUAUUCCCGACUUCCAUCUUUGUCAGUUAGAGGGUUCGUAGAUAGACAAUAGAGUUUCGAAAGUCUGUUUAUUUAUUUUGUUAAAUGUUUUAAAGACUUAAGUUGCCUAUUUAUGGCGAGUUGAAUAUAUUAUUUUAUUCAUAGUUAUCUAUUCAGUAUUGUUCAGAUUAUCUUAAAGUUGAGUAUUUGAAUUUAAUUCAGUUUUAAGCUUUUGCAUGCUUAAGUUAGUCUUCCGCUUGUAGUCAGCCAGGAUGAGGGUUCGCUUGGGGACCAACAAUGGUUCUUGAGUGCCGACCACGUCAAAGGUGUAGACACGGAUCGUAACAUCAUAUCUCGUGAAUAUGUUUUAGUAAAUUAAUUGAUGAAAAUGAUGGUCUUUUUUUAUUUGGUGCAUAAACAAUAAUGUUUAUACAAAAUAUUUGGUAGAUUAAUAGGUGUAAUUGAUAGUGUGCAUGGUGAAGAUGAUUUGGUGUAAUUGGUAAUGCACAUUAUGUUUUCGUAAACAACCUAAGUCAUAUUAACGCCAUAUUCGGUGACUAAUUUUUGGUAAAUUAUUAGGAGAAAUUAAUAUUGUAUUUGUUUUAAUAUGGUAUAUAUUGUUUUUUAAAGGAACAUCGACAUUCUUUAAUAUUUUUUGGUAUAUAUUUAGCUGGUGUAUAUUUUGUGGUAUAUACAUUGAAGUAUAUGGUAUAUUAACCUGUUAUUGAUAUGCGGGUUUGGUGUAAAUCAUAUUGUUAUGGUGUAUUAUUGAAUGUAUUUUGAUAGAUUAUUUGGCAAAAUUUAAGGUAUAUUUUUGAGUUUUGUGUUAACGCCAUAAUCUGUGAAUUGAGCAAGUGUAAUUAAAUUUGUAUAUUAGAUUUUUAAUUAACACCAACAUUCUUUUAUUUUUUUGGUAUAUUUUGAUAGUGUAAUUGGUGUAUUUUUUGGUAUAUAUAGUGAAGUAAUCGUUAGUUUUUAAGUUAUUUGUAAACAACAUAUUUGAGAUUAGCAUUUUCAUGUAAGUAAAAACAUUUUGAAUACAAAAAUGUUUAGUUUGAAUACAUUGAAAUCACCAUUCUCUUUGUAAUACAUGUAGUUACGUUGAUUACGAUAUUGAAGGAGUGAUAUAUGAUGCAACAUCGAAUACGAAGGUUUAAUUACUACUAUUGCUGCCCAAUUGGGUGUGGACACAACAAUUUCUUAUUUAGAACUCAAAUAUGUCGUGAGUGGUCCAUAUCCACCAAUGAAGAUUCAUAACGAUAUGGAUAUCCAAGUUUAUUUAGAUAAAAAAAAUGCAAUUCUGAUUUCUUUUCAAAGUAUCCAUUAUGUGUAACAUGUGUGGAUAGAGCUAUGGAAGCCAUUGAUUAUCACAUUGGUGUCCAAACAACAAAGCAAGAAAUUAUGAGAUCAAAUACACUAUGUUUGACUGGCGUAGAUCCAAAUUUGGAUGAAUCUAUUGAAGGAAAUGAAGAAACUAAAAUAAUCUCAAAUCCUCAACACGAUUUGGUGGCAGAAGAUCAAGUUUAUCUCAACAAGCAAAUUAUAUCAGAAGUUAUGAAAAUAUAUACAUUUUUAAGGGAGUUUUGUUUCAUUGCUAAAAGGUCGAGUACUACUUCGUAAGAAAAAUAAUUUUGUUUAUUAAUUAUUCAAUGUUGUAUUUCAACAUCUUACCAUUCCUAUUGUGUUCUAUUUUGAUAGUUAUUAUCUGAAAUGUCCUACCGCUAAUUAUUCAUGGAUAUGUAAAUCAUCGAGUUUGAAUCAGUCUGAUUUGUUCAAAGUGAGAAAAUUUUGCAAUACACAUACGUGUCCAUUGAAGGACAUGAUUCAUACAAAGCGUUAGUCUACUAGUUGUGUUCUUUGUUCAAUGUUAACUGAAAUGUUUGUGGAUGCAAAAAUAGUUUAUACACCAACUGACAUACGGACAUACAUGCUAAGAAUACAUGGAAUUUUAUUAACAUACAUGAAAGAAUGGAGAGGAAAGGAAAAAGCUUUCAAGACAUUGAGAGGUGACCCUGCAGAAUCAUAUGGAAAAAUAUCGAUGUAUUUAUAUAUAUUGGAAACAACAUAUCCAGGGACAAUUGUAAAUUAUAAGAAAACCGAUGAAAAAUAUUUUUUAUAUUCAUUUACAACACUUGAUGCCAGUAUUAGAGGAUGGUAGUAUUCUCGAGCAAUAGUGGUAGUUGACGAUACACAUUUGAAAUCAACUUAUGAAAGAACAAUGUUGAUAGCUAGCACGUUGGAUCCAGGAGGUAUUAUAUUUUAUUUGGAAAACUACACAAUGACAUUAUAUAUAUAUAUAUAUAUAUAUAUAUAUGUUUAUAUUUGUAUAUUUUCAUAUAUCAAUUUAAGUUGUAGCUUAUGGUGUAUAAUCUUGUUUGUUUAUAGGACACAUUUUGCCACUUGCAUAUGGAAUUGUUGAUUCAUAAAAUGACAAUUCAUGGUUGUUGUUCUUUGAGAAUUUCAAAAAUGCAUUUGGUGAUAGAGAUGAGACGUGCUUUGUUUCUAAUAGAAAUAAGAGUAUAUGGAAUGAUACCGCCGUAGUUUAUUUCGAAUUUUGACAUUAUGCGUGUAUUUAUCAUCUAUGGACAAAUUUACUGACGAAAACACACAGAGAUACUGAAGAGGUGAGAAAAUUAUCUUUCAGUUUAGCAAAAGCAUACACUGUGCAAGAGUUUGACGAAUUGAUGGGAAGAAUGGAUCAAGCUAAUCUAAAAUACCGUGCAUAUCUAGAGAAAGCAAAUAAUGAAAAUUGUCCCGUUCACAUUCAACAGUAAAGAAGACUUGGACUUUAAUAAGUAACAGUGUAGAGUCAAUAAAUAAUGUUAUUCUAAUUGGUAGAAGGUUGCCAGUGGUGCCUUUGUUGGAAUUUGUGCACAAAGUAAUUGAAGCUUGGAACGAGAAACACAACAGAGAAGGUAGAAAAACUACAACAACCUUAACCAAUAAGUACAAUGAAAUGUUGGAGGACAAUAAAAAUAUGUCGCAUCGUAUGUUUGUAAGUAUUAACAAUUCUUUUUUUUCAUUUUAUAGUAUGUUGGUUUUUUUAUUGUUAAUUUGGUUUAUUUUCAACAAAGGUAUGUGCAUCAACAUAAUAUCUUCAUACAGUUAUAGAUGGUGCAAAAAGGUUUACAGUAUGUCUAAAUACUAAAAUGUGUAGUUGUGAAAGAUUUCAACAUGAUGAGAUUUCUUGUAGUGAUGCAGUUGCAACUAUCAUAUACAGAAACAAAAAUCGCAAAGAUUAUUGUUCAGCUUAUUAUAGUAAUAAAAAAUUUCAAGUUACUUAAGCAUUUUCAAUAGAACCAUUGCCUUCUGAAAGCACUUGGGAUAUUCCAGCACAUAUUUUGAAAGUGAUAAUGAUACCACCAAUUGCAAGAAAACAACUGUUGAAGGAAAAUUCAAGAGGAGUAAAGUCACCUGUAGUAAAUGUGGUACAUCAGGGCAUGACAAAAAGACUUGCCCCAAUUUUGCUUAUCCGAAUUAACAUUGAUGUAUUAUUUUCAAUUAUUUUUUUGUUGUUUUCUAGAAAAAAUUCAGAUUUUUUUUUUAAGAAGCAUUUUUAUCCAACUUUGAUUACUGUUGAUUGGUUUAUUGGUAUUAUUGAUCAAUUAACUGUCAUAUUAUUGGUAUUUGAAUGUUUGUCGUACAUGCUAACCUUUAUAUUCACAAAUAUAUGUAGGUAAAAUUGAUUAGUAAAGACUAAUAUAUAUAGUUAUGUAAAAGACUUAAAAAGGACAAUUUAAAAAACAAUGAAACACAACAUUGUGAUGUAUUCUUCAUUCAUUUGAAAACAGAAAUCAUAAUUACUUAAUAUUGGUGUAAUAAGCACAUAUACACAAUUGGUGUAAUACUAGUGCAAUUAGUUCACAUGUUCAUAAUAAUAGUGGUAUGAAUUAGCAAAAAUGUUGGUAUUAUACACCAACCUCAUGUUGAUGUAUUAUAUUGCCCCAAUUUUACUUAUCAGAAUUAACAUUGAUGUAUUACUUUCAAUUAUUAUCUUUUUUGUUGUUUUCUAGCAAAAUUCUGGAAUUUUUUUAAGAAUGUUAAUCGCACUUUUAUUCAACUUUGAUUGUCGUUGAUUGGUUUAUUAGUAUUAUUGAUCAAUUAAUCGUCAUAUCGUUGGUAUUUGAAGGUUUGUCGUGCAUAUACAGAAUUGGUGUAAUAGUUGUAUAAUUAGUUCACAUGUUCAUAAUAAGGGAAAAUGGUCUGAAAAAUACUCCAACUUUGGCCGAAAUUGUUGUUACGAUACCAAACUUUAUAGAGGACCUUUUACCCCCUGCACUAUUUAAUAGUGUAUUUUAAAGGUAUAUAUGUGCCCACGUGGACACAUUACUAUUUAAAAAUGAUGCAAUAUUUAUGAUGCCCAACGUAGGCACAUAUAUACCUUUAAAAUAUACUAUUAAAUAGUACAGGGGGGUAAAAGGUCCUUCCCAAAGUUUGGUAUCGUAACAAUAAUUUCGACCAAAAUUGAAGUAUUUUUCAGACCCUUUUCCCUCAUAAUAAUAGUGGUAUGAAGUAGCAAAAAUGUUGGUAUUAUAUACCAACCUCAAAUAUUAAAGCUUUAAACAACUAUUUAAAUUAGUAUAAUAUUGGUGUAAUAAUGACAAAUGGUUAUAAAACUGGUGAUAUGUAAUGAAUAAAAUAUUGGUAUUAUACACUAAUCUCACAUAUUGGAUGAGACGGUAUAUGUUGGGUCCAUAAGAAGGAGUAAAAUGUUAUAUUAUAUACCAAACUCACACAAUGCAAUUAGUCAAAAGAAUUAACCAAUAAAAAAUAGUUAGACACCACAAUAAACCAUAAAAUUUUGACAAAUAUUUGUCAAAUAAGUGAACAUAUUAUAAGCACCAAAACUGAACGAAAAACCAAUUAAAGUGAGAUAUCCAACAAUAAAACAAAAACAUGUUUAAAAGAUUAAAAUCCAACAAAAAAUUAAAUGAAAUCCUGUCUUAAUAGAACAUGCUAAUUUUUAAUCCUCCUUCGGAUUAACUGACCACCUUUUUGAGAUGCUUCAUCUUCACUAACAGUACAAGUAUCAAUUUUCCUUUUUCCAUAAUCUCAAAGAAGUGCUCCAUAUCUCACACGUAGAUUUACAGAAUCAAACUUUGACAUUGAUAUAUCCAUAUCUCCUCGACAAGCAUAUUCCUCAAAACCAUAAGUAUACAGACCACAAUCGCUACAAAGAUAAAGACGAUAUGUGAAGAUAAAACAUUAUAUAGUACCGAUCAAUUAAGAAAUAAAUACAGUACACCUACAUUGAAUCAUCAACUUGUUGUGGAAUGUUUUUACGUAGGAGUGUACAUGGCCGGGUUGGUUCGAGUUUUUUCAAAUAUCAAACCAAACCAUUUAUGUUGGGUUUUUGAAUUUAUAAACCAAACCAAUAAAACUCGAGUUUUUCAACCUCGGGUUUUUCCAGUAAAGUAUUCAUACAAACAUAUAAUUUACUUGUACUUCAAAUAUUUCUUUAGUCCUACCAAAAUACAACUAUCUAAGAUGUUUCUUAAAAAUAUAACACAAUAUGAUAUGAUUAAUGACACUAAAAUAUCCAACAAAAAAAUAAUAAUGAAAUCGCGCAAAAUAAAUAUUACAAAUUAUUAAGUCAUAAUGAAAAUGAUCAUAAUUUAAGAGUACUAAAUCAUGUUAAAAUAAAUUUAAUAAGUAUUAGUUACAUGACUAAAUAUUAAAGGAAAUUAAAAUUAGAUUAUGUAUUUAAAUUGUCUAAACCUAUGUAAAACUAAAGAACAAAUAUUCAAUAUUAUUGUCAUUCUUAGUGUUGAAUUGAUUUUCUUUUUGCAUUAGUAUUAAUUUGAUUUUGAUUUAAGCUUUAUUAUAAUUACCAACAUCUAUGGACUAUAAUCUUUAUUGGACCAUUAAGAAUGCUAACUUUCAAACAUGAAAUAACAUAUUAAAAGAUAAAAACUAUGAAAAAGUACAAGAAAUAUUUAAAAAUUAUAUCAAAGUAAAUAUUUUUACAUAUAAAAUAAAUUUUUAAAAUUAUAUAUAUAAUGUCGGGUUGGUUUGGUCUCGGGUUGUUUUUUUUCAGUUGAAACCAAACCAACCCAAAUAUAGUCGGGUUUUUUUUUCCAAUACCAAACCAAGUCAAACCAAACCACUAGUCUGAUUUUUUUUCCGAUUUGACUCGAUUUAUGGUUUGAUUCGAUUUUCGGUUCAAUUUUAUACACCCCUAUUUUUACGCUUGACGUAGGUCAAUGGAUCACCAACUGAUUUUUAGCAUAAUGUGGAUUAAUCAGUGCAAACCAAGAACUAAAGUAUCAUUUUUGAUAGUUUCUGAGCCAAUAUCAUGACAAUUUUUGUGUGCUUUGCCCAAUACCCAUUUAAUGAAUCAUAUAUGUAAAGACACCUUCUUCUAAUGGAAAAAACAACAAGAAACCAGUGAAAUACAUUGCUACUGUUGAUUGAAAUGCAUACAGAAUCAACUUCCGCCCAUGGAGUAUUAGCAAAAAUCUUAUCACCUAUUAUAUAUUGAGCAACAUCAUGAUGUGUAUUAAUCAUUCUUUCAUCUUGUCAUUAACCUCCCAAGCAUCAUGAAUUUGAACAAUCCAAUUGAUGAAAAAUGAAUCAGUUGUAGUAACUCUUGAAUUAUUACCAGGGCCAUACUUGCAAAAUUUACGUAGAUAAUACAUAAUCACAUCAACAUGCUGUAUAAAAUCAUGUGCUAUUAGUUAUCAACCAACAAAAAAUAUAUAAAGCUAAAUGGAUUUAAUUUAAACAAUUAUUUCUGAUAAUUUAAGUAUUAUAGUCUCUAUUUAAUGCUCUAUAUUUGUAUACUUUAGUUUUUCUUUCCUAUACAUAAAGCACAUAAAAAUGAAUUCACAAUGACUAAUUCACAGUUUAGACAAGAUGAAAUUAAUAAUAGUUUCACUUACCAAAUCAACAAUAAACACACCAAACAUAAAAGUAAUAAUUUAAGUUUAUCAUAAAAAAAAGUGGCAAGAAAUUUAAUUAUCAAAUCUCCCCCAAGGUUUUCUUAGAUAAGCCAAAGGAUAAAACCAAUCCAUUAAAUCCACUCUACCAACUCCAAACUCAAAAGAAGGGUCAAUAGGAUUUUCAGCAGCUGUGAAGAAACUAGUUUUCCUGUCAAAAAAAUAUCCAGUUGUAAACAUGAAUAAUAAGAAAAAAAAGUACUAAAGUAAAUUCAAAUUACUAUACGUACUUGCCACGUUUCUUGGAUAGUUUGUUAUCAAUUCAUUUUUUGAAAUUAGGAAUCACAUUAUUGUGCAUAUUAAACCCUGUGUAAUUUGCAUAAGGGUGCUUCCAUGAACAGUAGAUCAACACCUUUCUAGAUGUGCCACCAGAUUCAUUUAGAUAAGUGUAUGGUGAUUGUGCAUACUUUCCUGGUAACUUUGUACUGGAACUAGUGUCACAUCUGUGUUUCCAGCACUUCAACAUCAAUCAAAGGUGCGACAUAUGUGUUUUCAGAUUCAACAACAACCAAUGAUAACACAUAUAUUUGUCCAGUUUCAAUAGCAACCAACUGUGAUACACGCAUUGUUGGCAUAACAAAUUCAUACAAUGUGGGAGUAUUUCUGUUUUUUUUUUUCAAUGCCACAUAACUUUCACCUAGAAAAUGAUUCAAAUCAUCAAAAAUAAAGGUUCUUUUUAUUAAUUUAUUUUAAAAAACAACAUUGUUGAACACUAACCAAAAAACUUUCAUGUGUUAUCAACCAAAUGUUGACUAACGAAAGGUGGAGAAUGGACAUGAUCUUUAACAACACAAUAUUCCAUAUGUUCAUCUUGAACAUCGAACCUUUCUUUACUUAUAUCCUCAAUUACUACCUUUAUAAUCUCAACGUUCAAUCAAAAUAUGAAACUAGUCAAUUAAUAAAUAAAUCAGAAAUAUAGAUGAGCAAUAAUCUGAUACCAACAAAAGAUAAUUUUAAAACAUAGUUAUAUAUCAACACAUAAAAAAAAAAACAUAAAUACAGAUAAAAUGAUAAAAUAUUAACAAAAAACCAUAUAAGGAAGUAUAUUACUUACAUUGAUAUCACCUGCAUCUUUUCUCUCUGGGACCUUUUUUUGAACUGUUCUAAUCUCACCAUUAUAUGUUUCAGUACCACACUCUUCAGGAGAAUCUUCAUAUGAUAUUCCUUUCAUCUUACAACUCUAAUGUUGAAAAGAUAAAUUAUACUACAUGUUAAUGUACUCAGAAAUUUGUUGAAUAAAUGAUUAUCUAAAGAAUAUAGUUACAUAAAUACACAUAGUUGCUUAUUGAAUAUACCGUUAGAACAACUUAAAUGUUGAACAAAUGUUAGUGUUUAUGUAAAUAAUGUGUCCAUAUAUGAAUAAAGUAUAUAAAGUACACUAAUUCGUUCAACACCUGCAUCUUUAUUGGUUGAAACUUCUUUUAAAGAGAUUUCAACUCAUUGAUGAUAUGUUUGAAUGAUGAAUCCAUAAAAGCCUUCAUUUCAAUAAACUGAGCAUCUACAUUUUCCUUAAAUUUUUCCAACUCAUUACGAACCUAACAAAAAACAAUUGAUAUUAAUAUUUCUUCAACAAAAUAUAUGAGUAAAUGAAUAAUAGUUUUAACCAAACCUUAACAACUUCUUGAGCAAGCUUCUGGAAAUCCUAAAUGCCAAACUUGGAUCUCUUCCAACAUGAUGUGAAGGAUUGUGAGGCAACUCUUUAUCAUUUUGUCGUACAACAUUGUCAGUCUACAAAUUCUCAUUUUGCCUUACAGAACAAUCAGGUUCACUCGACUUGUUGAAUGCUGAAUCAUUAAAAUCAAUAAGGUUUUCUGCCUCAAUAACAUCAAGCUCAUCAUCCAUCAACACAAGAUCUUCAAACAUAUACUAGCAUCACAAUAACAAAUUAUAAAUAUAUGCAUAAACACAGAAAAAAUAAGUUAAGUAAUUGUAACUAUCGAAUUUCUAUUACCCGAUUUCCAUAUUUUCUGAACAUGCCUUUCUUAAGAUUGUCAAAAUAGAUCUUGUUUUUGAAAAUUUCUCAAUUGAAGAUGCGAGGAAUAUGUUUGGAUGUACGAAUUGCAAUUGAUACUUCAACUUUGUUGCAACACUCAUAAAAUCAAAUUUGCAACGUAAGCGGGAACCCCAAAAACCUCACAUAAUCUGGAUAUGUAGUCAUUUGACUCGAUACGGGAUUUCUUAGAUUGAAAAAUGAUAGAUUGCCCCAAGGAUAGGUAUUGUACUGUCCGGACCCAACACAUAGAAAGUGAUCUUUGGGAUAUGUGAAUUUUUUGGUGGAGAUGACAAUAUGAAUAUAUUGAUGAAAUAAAUCAUCAACAUAUUAAAAAUGUCAUCUUCCAUAAUCAACCCAUCUUCUUUAAAAACCCUUAAAAAAUUAGCUUUCAACACCCUAUCGGUAGCAUUUGAAAAGUAAUGAGAAAGGAGCUUUGAUGGACUAUUUGGAUCAUGGUCAAAACCCAUCGACCCACCACAUUUAAAACCAGUAAUUAUCCUAAAUUCCUUAAGCCCAAACUGAAGUUCUUUGCCAUUUAAGUUAAAAACAGACAUAUCAUCUCGAUUGUUAGACAAAUGAUGAACCAAGCUUUUGAUAACCUGAGGUUGGAAUUUAAUUUGUGGUAAAUCUAAAAGAUAAACCAAAAGGUGAUUCUUUAAACAAAUGAAGACUAUUAAUUUUAGAAAGCCGAUUCGUUAUAUCAACAAACUCAUUGAGAUUGACAUACGAACACCAACGAGAUUGUUUCUUCUUGAUCUAAAAAAUAAUAAAUAAAUUAAUAAAUUAUAAUAGUCAGAAAAUGAAAAUCAUAUAUCAUAUAUAUAUAUAUAAAAAGAAUCCUAGGUCAGCCUAUGUGGAGCCACAAAUCAGGAUUUCCUUUUAAUUUAUUUAUUUCCAAAAUUAGCCUUCCCUUUCAUGAAAAGUUGUGACUCUUAUGAAGAGUUGUGACUUUUAUGAAGAGUUGCGACUUUUAUGAAAGGUUGUGACUUUUUCAAAGUNNNNNNNNNNNNNNNNNNNNNNNNNNNNNNNNNNNNNNNNNNNNNNNNNNNNNNNNNNNNNNNNNNNNNNNNNNNNNNNNNNNNNNNNNNNNNNNNNNNNNNNNNNNNNNNNNNNNNNNNNNNNNNNNNNNNNNNNNNNNNNNNNNNNNNNNNNNNNNNNNNNNNNNNNNNNNNNNNNNNNNNNNNNNNNNNNNNNNNNNNNNNNNNNNNNNNNNNNNNNNNNNNNNNNNNNNNNNNNNNNNNNNNNNNNNNNNNNNNNNNNNNNNNNNNNNNNNNNNNNNNNNNNNNNNNNNNNNNNNNNNNNNNNNNNNNNNNNNNNNNNNNNNNNNNNNNNNNNNNNNNUGACUUUUCCAAAGAGUUGUGACCUUUCUGAUAAGGCAUAAUAAGCAUUUGUUCACACUACCCUUUGUUGUCUAUAAUCAGAAGAAUUUCCUCUCAUUUUAAAACAACAAAAAUUUUGAACUACUUCUACUUUUUCUUCACAAUUAAGUAUUCGUGUAAUUUGCUCAUGUUGAGUGGCUCAUUGACACCAUUAUUUUUGUAUCAAUACACUGGUGAAUAGAAUCGUUCUAUCCUGAGAGAAUCUAUUCCUUUAAACCUUGGGGGUACUAGAGAGAAAUAGUUUCCUUAAGGGGACACUGUGCAUUUAGUGGACUUGAUUUUUUCCUUUUUAUUUCGUUCUAUUGUUGCAUAUCCUAGUAUGUUUAUUUUACAGUCAUUAAUUUAUGCUUAUGUUAUUAAUUGUUGUUUUUGAGUACAUGAGAAAGUGAAUAUGAUGCAAUUUGAAGAAAUAAAAUUGAUUAUUAUAUGCAUCCACAUGACUAAUUUGUUUUAAACUUUGUUGUUGAUGUUUAUGCUUUUGAUCAUUAUGUUGAAGUAAAGAUAUGUUAAUCAAGAGUUUGAUGUAAUCAUUAGACUAUUGGUGUCAUGUAGAUUAGAAUUAUUAAACUUCUAAAAUAAAUGACUUUGAUCUUUAUAGAGCUUUCAGUGGCUAAAAGAUCCAUGGGUUGUCCAAGAAGGGACUUUUGAGUGUUCAGAAGUUAUGGUGGUUCCACACUACCUUGGGGUUUUAGUUAUUCAACUUUCUAUCUAUCGAGGUAUCCAAUCGAUUAGUGACAUCCAAAAAAAAAAGGAAUGUAGUGGGAUGGUAAGUAUUGUACCCAACCUUAAUCAAAAAUUUGGGGAUUCAAAUUUCAUGUUGGAGUCAAUGAAUUACCCCUCAAAGUAGGAUGAAUCCAUAUUAAUCAAAUCUUACAGAAAUAAUUAUCUCCUUAUAAAUAUUAGAUUAAAAUUCACAAAAAACAUGAAAGUUUUAACCAUAUUGAUCGAAACUUAAACAACAAAAUAUGCCUUUUGGCUAUCAAAGUAGUGUCAUCGACUAUGAAUGAUUUUGGAAUAAGGGACUUGCCAAGACAUCAUUUAAUCCAAAUUAUUUGAGCAAGAUACGUUAUUUCAUCAAACUCCAAGAGAUGUGUUUUUAAAUUUAAAUGAACUUAUCAAGCACACAACUAAUUACAUAAGAUGUAUAACAUUUAGAUUUUGUAUGUAGAGGCCUUGAAUAGGAGGAAACCUCUCGCAAUUGAUGAAUAAAAUAUUUGAACCACUUUUUUAAAAUACAAAUAUAGACAAUGAAACAAUUACAUAUCUUUUCUAAAGACUUUGUUGAUGAAUAACUAGAGUAAAAGGAAGAAUUAAUAACAUACAUAAACACUUAGAAUCAAAUCUUUUUGGCUUUAAGAUUAAAAAAUUAUUUUUAAAUUAUAUUGACGUAGUUCAUCACCGCGCGAAGCCCGGGCAAUUUACCUAGUUAUAAAUAUAAAACUAAGAAAACAUUUGCAGCAAACAAUAAAAUAAUCAAAACAAGAUAAUAAACAAAAAAUAAAAAAUUUACCUUUAAAGGUUGUGUCAACUUUUUCCUUUUCUUAAUAAUCGAACUGACCCUUUUUGGGAUUUGAACCCUUCCUCACCGACACCCCAACAGAUUUCUAAGAAGAAAACAAAAAAUUUAACUUGCAUGUCACAAACAUAAACAGAGAUAAAUUUAGUACCUUCAGACACGAUUUCACAGUUAAUUGCGGAUCAUUAUUUAAUCUUAAUCUUUUAGUAAUGGGGAUUUCAUCCUCAAAAUUACUAUCACGGGGAUAGUUUUUGUCGACAGAAGCUUCAACCACUUUUUCUUUACCCUUCUUAUUUGUAUUAACAAUAGAAUCCGAUUUUUUAUUGAACCUUGCUGGUUGAGGAUGAAUUAAUGACAACACACUCAUUGAUUCCUUUAAAGAUUUUGUUGUUGUCUCUUAUACCUUCGUUGAGAUGCGAUUGAGUGAACGCAUUCAACUCAAAGGAAGGUCUUGAACAUAUAACAUGCGGAAUAUCAACCACUACAACUGAUUUAUUGAGCCUAGUGCUUUUACGUGGAGUCCUAUCCAUCGAACUCAAUAAAUGGGUUAACAAUGGUGAAAAUCUGAUGAAAUGGGUGGUUAAAGUGAUGAACUAAAUUAUGGUUAAUGUUUCAAGAAAGGAUAUGGACGGAGGAAGAUGGAAGGGUUAAGAAGUUUGACGGAUGAAGAGAGAAGGUUUAAAUUUACAAGGAACUAUAAUCACAUAGGGAGUAACUAUACCAACUUUAUUGGUAACAUAAAAAGUUGUAUAAAAAAAGGAAGAAAAUAAAUAUGAUAUGAAAGGCCAAUAAACGUAAAAAGAGGAGAGAAUAAAAUCAAGAUAAUGUGUAUAAAUUAAUCUGUAAUUGGAGAGAUAAUUGAUAAAAUUUAAUACCCUAAUUAUACUCCACACAAAAAGGCACGUAAUACAAAAAGUAGGAGAGAGGAAAAUCGAAAAACAAUUAAUUCACUUAAAUUCAAAAAUUAAUCAUUUUGUUAUGUUUAUAAUUGAAAAACUAUGUUUGUAAUUAAAUAGAAGUAUAUUAAUAUUUGGUUAAUUAAAGUCUUAAGUAGUAUAUUAUUAUAAUUUUCACUUUUUUAUUCAUCCAUACCAGUUCUCAUUCUUUUCACAUUUCUUUCUUUAACUUCCUUUACUCGUAAAAUUUUCAACUAUAAAGUGCACUAGGAACUUGGAGAUCAAUUUAAUGCAAGGUAAAUCAAUAAAGGAGAAAAGCUUAUUAAGCGGUUAAUCAAAGAAACAUACUAAAAGGCUCAAAGAGACUAACUAUGAAAAAUGAAAGGAUAUCCUAUAAAUCAACACAUUAUUUCACUCUGCACACACACUGGACAAGUUCUAGAUAUCAAAAUACGCAUGGAAUAUGCAAAAUAACUCACCACUCAAUGAAUGACACAUAAACGAUGAAACUGGCUCCUUAAAAAUUCUCUACCUAACAAUACAAUUGAAUUCAAUGAAAUUAAGCUCAUUCUAAUUUAUUUAGAGUCAAUCGUAGAUUAUUACGUGUCUCCAAAAGAAUUUAUCUACAUUUUUAUGCAUAAUAUUUUUACAAGAGUUAGUGAUUCUACCUUAAGCACGUAGCAUUCAAGGCGUGCUUGGUUACUUUUUACUACUAUAAAAAACUAAUUUUCUUUCAAGAUGAUUGUCAUUCAUCCAUCUUUAGAUUUAGAAAUCCUUGAUAAUUUUACCCUAAGAGCUCUGAGUUCAUAUAUUGUAGUACCCCCUCCUACUUUUGGUUUACCUCUGUUAGGCUCUCCUUCUCCCCGCCAAUUCUGAUCAUUUAUAGUGAAAAUGUUGAGUAAGGUCUGAAUUUCACCGUAAGACCUCUCUAUAAAAUUACCCCACAUGCAUUAUCAAAAGUCAUUUUUGAGGCUUCAUCUAAUCCAUACACAAAUGUAUGCCCUAGAACUACAUAUAUUUGAUAACGAUAUAAGGACAUUCUCUGAGCUGUUUUUUCAAAUGCUCCUAAGUCUAACGAAGAAUCUCGCCUUACCAUAUUGAAAGUUGAAUAUUUGGCUUCUUAGAUAUUCCGUCUUCCUAAAGGGGAGGAAUUUGUUCAAGAAAUUUCGAGCUAAGUCAUCACGUGUCUUAUUUGAAUUUGUUGGCUCCUUUUGUAACCAUUCCUUUGCUUCCCCCCAUUAGUGAGAGGGGAAACAAGGUUAUCCUAGCAUACUCUUAGGAGACAUUUGGAGAGUUAUUUGUGUUAGUAAUCUCCAUAAAGUUUCGAAUGCAACAUUCUCCUGUGAUAGACCCACAAACUGCCCAUGAGAUUGAAUGAGUUGUACCAUAUACUACUUCAGCUCGAAGUGGCCCUCAAUGUUAGGCUUGGUGAUAGUUUGCGCAAACAAGAGCAAGAUUAGGACUUGCAGCUUCAAUUAUUGCUCGUACUGAUCAACUGUCAUUUCGACCGGUUGUAGUUUUUCCACAACAUCAAUUGUUGCCGCAUCUCCUACUACAACCUCUCUCCUUAACCCUUGUAGAGCAUGUUUUGAUUUCUGGAUCAAAAGAAAGGAGGUUGUCACGACCCAAUCCACUAGAUCAUGCAGACACUUAUUCUAACACCUAGAUAGGAGAACUUUAAUAGCCAAACUAGAACAUGAAAUGCAGAAGUGGACAUUUACAAGCUAAUCUCCCUAUUAAAAUACAGAAAUACUCUCAAACUUGAUUAAAAUAAGUACUUUUGUGAAAUACACUGAAUCCUCCCGAGGAACUAGGCUAAAUAGGUACAAGAGCUUCUAAGAUAAUACAUAAUUUUAAAAUAAUAAGAUAGAACUCCCACCAUAAGGGAAGAGGGGUAGAAGUUGUCGGAGGUCAUCUUCGUCUUCACCUAAGAAACAUCACUAAUCCUAAAACUAGACUAUAUCAAGUAACAUAAAAAAAGUAGUAUCAGUACAAACAAUACGUAUUGGUAGGCAUCAUUGGCAGACCCGAAUCCAUCACAUAAUAUCAUGCAAAUAAUCAAAGAAAUAUAAAACUUGGAGACAUAAUUAUAACCCCGAUCCUUCAAUCAUCACCCUUAAUACAAAGUAAUACUACCUUGGAACUCAUAUAAUCUAUCUCAAGUCACCUCACUUCCUUCUGCUGCCAACUCCAUCAUCUAAGUCGUUCCUACCCCUAUAUCAGAUCAUAACUGUAACACAUUAGAAAUUGGAAAGUCGAGAAAUGACUUCAUUUUUGGCUACUAGUCUAGCCCUACGAGAUUCAUUUUCAGUUUAUAGAGGACUCUAUGGGUCGUAGAUGACAUUCAUAUGAACUAAGUUGAGUUUUGGGAAAAUUCAAGUCCUAGUCUACGUGCCGUAGAAAGUGCCCAUAGGAUUGAUCCAGACUUGGUAAAAUUUUGGGCUAAAAGUUGAGGACUACAAAUGGGGUCUAUAGAUUGUAGAUUUUUCAAUGGUCCAUAUAAAGGGUUUCGUGGAAAGUGAGUUAAAUAUUGGGUUCCAGUACUUGGUUCUAUGGUUGACCAGUUUGGUAGGUCCCAAACCGUAGACCAGUUCCAACAGUUUUAAAUGAGGAUGUUUUGAUUUUUUCCUACCUACCUAACCCCUAAACUACAUUGUUUUGACCUUAUAACUACCCCUAUUACUGAAUUAACCCUUCAAAUUGAAUUCAUUCCCUCAUAUUCACUCAAAUCCCCAAAUUCCCUCUAAGUUCAUUCCCUUUAAUUCUCUCUCAAACUCCAAGGUGAAAGCUAGGAUUUCAAGCUUCAAGGUCACAAUCUCAAUCUCUUUUCUUAAGCUUUAAUUAUCAUGGUAUGUUGAAAUUCACAAUGGAUCCCUUUCAUCCAUUAGGUCCCAAAAGAACUCCAAUCUCAAAUUUAAUUUUACCCAAUUCAAUUAAGGUUUAUGACAAUCUCUGUGGAUCUUUUUUAUUAUGAUUCAAUUGAUGUUAUUCUAUCUUAUUAUGCAUUAUUAACCUAAUUACAUAAUUUAUAAUUGAUUUCAUACGGAACCAUGCUUUAUGCUUUAGUUUUUACCUAUGAACUAUGAACUAUGAUCAUGAAUUGAUAAGGGGUUUUAUGCAUAUUUUACGAAAUGAUGAAGUUAUGAUUUAAGGAUGCUUUUAAGUUAAGUAUUAAUGAUUUGUGAAAGUUUUUAUCAUAGAUUGAAAGAAAAUCAUGAUUUUCAUGCUUAGGAAGGUAAGUGUCUGUAUGAAUAAAGUUAUGAAAUUAUGGUUUUGAAAGGAGCUACUCUUGUACAAACUUAUGAUUUGGAUUGGUAUUUUAAUUAUUGCCUUUUCUAAUGUUAUGUCUUGAUAAUUGACUUUAUCUAUUCCGUUGGGAUUUUACUUAGCACCGAGAGAACUUUGAGAUUGGCUCAAAUAAGGUAGUCUCUAGUAGUAAUCUCUAGUUCCAAACUAUGUGUCCCCGUAGGAUUUGGCUUAAAUGACCUAGCUAGUGGAUCCACAUAUCAUUAAUGAUAUGAUACAUAAUUCUACCUUGAUAAGUAAACUCUCCCUUUUCGGUGUGGGAGUUACACUGGAUUCUAUUUUAUGGCUCACAUGGUCUAUUGUCGGUAAAGCUAAUAUCCCACAAAAGAAUUAUGAUUUCCCUUAAAGCUUUACGUUAUGUCCUUGUACUAAUGCAUUGGCCUUGUAUCAUUUUCUCUCGGGAUCAUUCUUUUUCUAAGCUUUUAAAUGUUCUAAUUGGUCAUGCAUUACAUGUUUUAAGCUUAUUAUGAUACCAUGUCUAUGUUUAUGCAUAUUUUCCUCAUAUAUACUUAGAACAUUUUGUGUACUAAUGUAUAUUUGUACCUACAUUGUCUCAUAAUGUAAGACCUAACGCUCUUUCUCCUCCCGCUCGUGGCUAGUAGAUAGCUUUGACGUGAAGAUUGGUGAGUCCUCAUGUUUCGAGGGCUAUGUUGCCUAUACUACAUUUUUCUAUGUCUUUAGUUUUCACACUUUGUACGUGGUAUAUGAGUUACAUCCCAACCAUUUUUAUGUUAUUUAAAAUGACUUGUCAAGACAUAGUUAUGAUUUCGCAUUCAUGUUCAAAUUGUUCUUUAUGAUAUGAGAUGUCUUACUUAAACUCUCUUAUUGUAUAUUCUAUUGUGUUGAAUGUAUGUCAAGUGUCUUGUGUAGGGCCUCUCAGGAUCCUAUAGGCCAUGGCAUGUCUAGGGUAUACUAUGGGUCAUGACGAUAAUCUAACCCCUCAAUCACAUAAAUAAUUUUCAAACCCCCCAUUCUACCAACACUAGAAUUCCUCUACUAUUUCCAUUCAUGAAUCCAAGUCCACCACUAACUCUGUUAAUCAGUCCACUACUCUCCCUGAAGUUUCCAUGUCAACCCCUGACCCUUGGCAAAUUUAAUGAACCUGCAAGGCUUUUACUAUAACAAUUUGAUGCAAUAAUCACAUAGAACAUGCCCAAGCAUCAAAACAAAUCGCAAAAAAUUUCAACACACUUUUCAAGUUGCCCGGACCACCCAAGGAUCCCCAAACAUCACAUAUUGAAUUUAACAUGUACUUCCUAUCUUUACAAGAACUUCUGCAGCACUUAAAUACAAAUUUCAUGCAUUUAUGGACCAACAUGUAAAUAUCACAUUAUGAAAAAGUAAACUUGAUUCACUCAUGAAAUCAACACACAAAUAAUCACAUGUACUAGGCGUCGUAUCCGAGUCAACAAUUAGUAAUUUGUACUGACAUAGUAUGUGAAUCAACUAUAUAGAUAUCUAGUAUUAGUGGUACUCGAGACAAUCAAGAGAUAUCACAUAUUAGGAGUGCUACCCGAGUCAAUUGUUAGUAUGUACCUGAAGUAGUACUUGAGUCAACCUACAAUCACAUAUCACUAUCACAAUCGCAACAAAUACAAUCACACUUGUAAAUCCAAGUAAACACAUUCACUGCAUGAGAUUGAUAACAAGCUAACAUUUUAGUUUAUACUCUUUCCAUUUUCCUAACCAUACAUUAUAAAGGUAAUACUAAUGAAGCAGUUAGCAAACACAUAUAAUACAAAUGGAAAAGAAAGCAAUCAUAUCCUACUCCAAAUGAUGCUUCCCAGAUAGCUUUUCCACUUACAAUCUGAUUACCUAUAAAUUAACACACCCGGAUAACACCCAGUAGCAAUCUUCUCCUAAUCAACCACAAACACACAGUCAUCCUCUCCAAACUCCGUUUCCAAAAGACUAUACAUGCAAUCUCCCGAUAAUUUACAAGGUAUUAUGCAAUUGAAUAUAUGUCUAAUUACAUAGUUAAGCCUAGAUUACAUGGACCCACAACUGUUGAAGAACUUUGAACACAAAUUUCUGUCUCUAUGGGGGUAAAUCCUGACGGACAUAGACCGAAAUACCAUGGGGUUUAACAUUUCCUUGCUCUUAAAUUCCUCUCAUCCAUUGAUUUGAAGCUUGGAGCAGCUUAAGGAGGUUUUUGGAGUAACCAUCGUCUAUUUUACGAAUGAAACGUAGGAGGAAAAUCAAAAGAAAUCAUGUUUUCUAGGGUCUAAUCCAAUCAACCCCGCUAUAGCGGUAAAAUUCCCACUAUAGUAGGUUGACAUCAUCCCAAAUCAGAUUCAAAUUUCAAAAUUUUCGUCGUGUCACCUCAAUUUAAUUUGAAAACAUAAUUCAAAAAAUUCAAAAUUCCGCAUGAAAUGCCCUUUAAAUAACGGCGGGAUCGGUCGUUGAUAAACGCUCAACUAGACCUCAUCCAAUUCUAGGUGUAGGUGAUCGCAAUCUAGUAUAAACCCAACAAAGAGUUAGGGUCGAUCCCACAUGGAGUGAUACAGUAGAGAAUUCAGUUACGAAGUUAUAAACGUGUUCUAAUCGAUUGUAGGAAUAGAAAUUAUCGAAACAAAUCAAAUUAAAUUAAAGGGGUUUGACAACAAGUGUCAGAUGGGAGAUUAGGUUUGUCGAGUAACAGCUACAAUAACUACGAAAAUAGGGGAGUAGAUAAGUAGAGAGAGAUUCUCGGGGAUGCGAUCGAUUAAAGGCUAAUUUCGCUAUAUGGGUAAUUAUAGUUUACUAACAAUUGUUGAAUCUUAGUGGCUAGGCUAGACUAUAGAUGCAAUAGCUUUCUCUCGAACAACUAUUACGAUUCAAGCUAGUUCUCUCGAACCUCGACAAGCAAAACUAUAUAAACAUCCCAAUACCUCAAUUAAUCUACUCUCUCGAGCUAGAUUGGUAGGAUCGAGUUUAGAUUCACUCUCUCAAGCUGAAUCAACGAAUACCCGAUCACUACAAUCAUCAAUCAAUUGCCUUAAUUCUAAAACCUCUUUCUCAAGCAAACCCAGAACACUAAGUUAGAAUUGCAUUUGCAACUACAAUUCAUGGGUUAAUACACAUCUAUCAAUCAAACCCACUUCAAAUCAACAUUUAAAUCAGUAAACAACAAUACCCAUAAGCUAAUUAGAACAAUUAAUCACAUGAUCACACCCCCAACAAUGGGGGUUUUAGCCACACAUUAUAAAAAGUAAGAAACUAUUAUCAAUUAUGUUAUCCAUGAAUUGGGUAAUGAUUUCCAAGUCUUUAUAGUGCUUCAAAUCAACUAAAAUUCAAAACCCACUUGAAACCUCUACUCAAAAACUCCAAAAACUAAUAAAUUACAAUCUAAAGCUCAGAGUCUAACAAUGAUAGAAUCAAUUUUUUUCUUUGAUAAUCCUCUUUUCUCCUUUUAAUAAUCAAUUUAUACGUUCUCAGAUUUUGGCCUUCGUGGUCACUCGGCGGAGUUAGUCGAGCAUUGUCGACCAAGUCGGCGAUGCACCAAUUGCUCUUCUCCAUCGUUGCUUUGCCUUAACUCUUCAUCCUUCAGACCCUGUAACUUUAGACAAUCCAUUUUUUUGUCGCCAAUCCAUUCGGUGGUUUGCCGAAGGUCCAAUUUCAUCGCCAAGUUGGCUUUUCCCCAAGGCUGGCAGUUUGGAACAUUUGGCGAGCUGCAGUGCCACUCGGUUGGUGAUUGCCAACUUUCAUUAUCUUCAACCUUUUUCAUCUUUUCCGGUCUUUUUUGUCCGGUAAUGUCCUUGCCUUGCUCUUUUGCCUUUAUAUAUGCAAAUUAGCAUUUAAACAUCAGUUUAAAGCACAAAAUAAGCAUCGAGGACACUAAUCCUAUGAAUAACAAUCCCUACAAUGAGUCAAAAUCCCAGACUCAUCAAUCGUUACAGAGGUUGCCUCUUUCUUGUUCUUUGCAUUAAAAAAAGAACACAUGAGAGCACAAAAAUCACAGUAAAACGUUAAACUUGAACAAUCAAUAAAUAAAAACUAACACUAAGGCCGGUCACUUCCCAAUGUUUCAUAACUCUUCAAAACACAUGCACUCGUGAUUCAAAGUUUGGAGUUGCACAAAAAUAAUUGCCCAAAAAUUUACAAUACAAAGAAUGAUUAUUUGAGACAAUAAGGGAAUUGGUGAAAGUGAGUAAAUGAAAGAAAAACUUUUUGUUUCUCUUUUGUAUAUUUAGCCCACAAAUAAUACGUCGUAAAUAGGCAUAUCAUUUACAUUUUCUUCCAUCAGAAGAACAUAAGAAGCUAAUGUAAAACUAAUGAAAUGAAAUAUUACUCUUGCUUUAAAAACAAAUUUGUAAUAAUGCAAAGUAACUUUGAAUCUUCUGAAUAGUUCUUAUAUUUUCUUACGAAGUUAAGAAAAUGUCACUUGAAUAAAUGUGAAUUAUUUAUGAGGAAGUAACUAUUUAACUCUCCUAUUUCACAUAUGCUUACAACUUAGGAAUGUUCACAUAAAUUAAUUACGAAGAAUCAUAAAAAGUUAUUUAUUCUUUAUAUUAAAUAAAAAGGAAUAAUAUCCACAAAUGUCAUCCCUUAUUUAAGAUAAUAGAUCUAAAAAAUCUCUCUUUUAUAAAUUUCAUACGUACCAAAUCUUUUACAUUCAUGAACAAAUAGAAUUUGGAGAGAGAUUUAUUUAUAAUCAAUUUAUAUAUUUUAUGUAUAGUACACUACAAGAAAAGUGUGAAUUACAUGGAAAUUUUCUUAUGGAUUAGUAUGAAAAUUUGCAGGAAAAUAAGUUUCCCACGGAUUUUCAUGCUAAUCCCCAGGAAAAUCCUCAUGUAAUUCACAUUUUUCUUGUAGUGGUACUCUUUCUAGUUCAUAUUAAGUGAACUAUUCAAAAUUCAAGAAAUUGUUAGGACAUUUUUUCAUAUUUAUCUUUCAUUUAAUGAAGUUAUUGACUACUUUACAUUCACAAACAAAUAAAAUUUGGAGAGAGAUUUAUUUAUAAUCAAUUUAUUAUAUUUUAUGUAUAGUACUCUUUCUAGUUUAUAUUAAGUGAGUAAUUCAAAAUUCAAGAAACUGUUAGGACAUUUUUUCAUAUUUAUCUAUCACUAGGAAAUUUAACCGCACUUUGCAUAGUUAUAAAAAAUAUAUGUAAAUUUAUUUUAAAUAUUAAUUAUGAUAGAAGAAAUAAGAAUCAACUAUAGAAAUAAGGAAAUGAUAAAAUCACCAUACAAAUAUUUUUGUAGAAUUAGAGCUUAAGUGAAUUACAUUUUUAUUAUCAAGUAUUUUUCAAAAUUAAAAGGCUAAUUUAUUAAGAAAAUAUAUUAUGAUGUUUUACAUAUAAUUCGAAUAAACAUAUUUAAGAACUUGAUUUUCUCUUGUUUUUAUUAAAUGAUAAAUUUAUGUCUGAUGAAUCUUCCUUUUAUUCGAAAAACAAAGUGAUGAAAGUAAAAGUAGGAGGAAAAAGAGAUACGUAUUUCUAUUUCAUUACUUAAUUCUUUCAUUUUUCUUGUUUUUCUCUUGUUUUUGAUCAUCGUCUAAAUAAAUAUUUUUCUCUUAUUUUUCAUCAUCAUCUAAAUAAAGCUGUCUAUUGCUAAUUUUCGUGUAUAUCUUAUAUUAUUCUUUUGGUAAUUCUUUAAAAGUAGAAGAAAUGGAUAAAUUUAAAGAAAAUGUAAAUGGUUUUUCACCAUAAGAAACACCUAAGAACUGCGUAUUUCAAUAUUUAAUAUGCAUUUUUUUUUAUCCAUGAGUAGUAAAAUUUGAACGUCUGUUGGUGUAAUUAGUUGUGUGUGUUGUGCCGUAAUCUUCCUACCUUUAGAAAAAUCACUUUUUGAAAUGUUCUAAGUAUAAAACACUUUGAGAAAUACUUAGAAAGAGUCGCCACUUAAUUUUUUAAAGAAAUUAAGAAAACUUAUAAUUUUCAAAUAUUUAAACAGAAAAAAAUCAUUUGAAAAUACCAAAGAGGGUUCAGGGUUCAAUUUACACUUCGAGAAGGGUUUAAGCAUUCGAAAUGUCCGCUAACAUGCGGUUGACCUGCGACUUGACUAAAAUAUAUUUGACUAUUUUUUAGAAAAAAUGUGAUUUAACAUAAGAAUAAUAAUUUACAAUAUUUGGCUAACUUUGAGAAAAAUAGUUAAAUAAAUGACAUGCUUUUAUUUUUUUUUAGAGAAAGGUAUCCAAAAUAAAACAUUUGAGUCGAAAUACAAAUGAUUAGAAUAUAAUAAAACUAGAUUAAUUAGAAUUUCUUUAAUUCAUUUUCGAAAUAAAUAAUUUAAAUAUUAAUAAAACUAGAUUAAUUAGAAUUUCUUUAAUCCAUUUUCGAAAUAAAUAAUUUAAGCCAAUAAAAUUAAGCAUGAAAAUCAUUUUUUAAUUAAUUGAAGAAUGAAAGCAAAGUUUUGACUAAUCCCCUUUUCUUUUUUUUUGAGAAAAAUGACCAAGUAAAGAAUAUAUAUAUAUACAUUUACUUUAUUUUAUUUUUUAGUUUACUUGAGGAAUAAAUACUUUGACCUUUAAACCAAUUUUAAACGAGUAAAAAGUGAUUGAGUGGGAGACAUUAAAGAAUAUGUUGUUGUUUUAUUUUUUUUAUUUUUUAGAACAAAAGAUUUAACUUAAACCGUAUAAUUUGGCCAACAUAUUUAAUUAAUAAAAUAAAACUGUAUAAUUUGGCCAACAUAUUUAAUUAAUAAAAUAGAUAAAAUAAAUAUUAAAAGUUAACCAACACAAAGGAAAUAACUUAUCUUUUGGGGAAUCUAAUUAAGUUAGUUAAAAAUUAUAAAGUUAGAAUUAAAUAACAAACAAUAAAUAAUCACAAUUAAAUAAUUAAAGAGUAAGAGAGAAAUUGAAUUUGGGCCUCCUUUGGGUCAAUUUCGCUGGAUUUUUUUGGGUUUUAACCCAAUCCCCAAAUAAUUAUAAUUAAAUAAUUUAAGAGUAACGGGGAGAAGUUGAAUUUGGGCCUUUCUUGGGCCAAAUUCGUUGAUACUUUUUGGGGUUUAACCAAAACCCGUUUUUGGUAUACAGCUGGUGUAUAUCAAUGUAUAUCGGCAUGUAUAUCAGCUCUUUUCGUGUAUCUCCUGCUUCCAAACCCCUGUAUUUUACUUUUGGACCUGUAUAUCGAUAUUCACCAUGUAUACCGGUGUAUACUGUUGUAUGCAGCAUGUAUACUGCCCAUUUUCGGUCUUUCUGUACACCUGUUUUCAAUUUUCAGCUCGUAUAAAAUUGUUGUUGACUCGAUGGAGAAGAUGUUGGGUUUCUUCCCAACCCGUGAUGCAAGGAGAGUAACGAAGGGAGUCCAAUGGACUCGAACCGAGAGGGUUCAUGCAAGAAAAGAAGGAUAAAGAUUAACUAGAGAUAACUUCAAGAGGCAACCAUAUUUUAGUUAGAAUUAACCACGAUAAGAAUCAUUCUUACCCCUUGUAGAUUAUCAUAAAUAAUAGGUAGAAUGAACUCCCUUUGAAAUAAUAUUAGUUCAUAUGGGCGUAAUGUUAAAUCAUCUAAUAGGUUCAAUAGACAUAACUAAAACAAUCUAGACAUUCAACUCAAUUGUAGACAAUCAAAAUAAUAUCACAUGCGUAUGAAAUAAAUAUUAUGUAGAGUACAAAUCAUUCUUAACCAAUAUGUUGUUACAUACAAUUUACAACAAGGCUUUAGACUUUAAUAUUACAUGUAUCAGGUAUUGUAACCAGUGAAGGCAAUAUUAAACAUAUAAAGAAGAAUGAAGGCUGGCAGCCCUCUCCUAGGUAACAUGGAAAUUAUUUGGUCCUCUUGAAUGCCCAGAAAAGCCAUUAGAAGACACAAUACAAAAUUUAUAGGCCACACUUAAUAUAUUACAAGAAAACAAUGUGUUAUAGACCAUAAACCAUCAAGGAAGAAAAGAGACUAUAAUUGUGGUCGUGUUCACGCUAUCAAGAUGUAUUGCAAUGUAUUAUUCGAACUUAAAAAUCACACCUUCCAGCCCGAUGAUUCCAAGAUAAUAACACGAGCAUUAUGAAAAAGAUAUAACUUAUCCCAUUUAAGCUAAGCAAGAGGAUAAUUUAAGAAGCAAAAUAAGAAGAGGAUGAACACCUUAUGCAAGUUUAGUCCUUUGCAAGACUCAUGCUAAAUCAACAGAAGAUGUUAAUUGGUAUUCAAUUAUUCAUUCAGCAAAUUAAGGACUUAAACCGGAUAUAUGAUGAGUAGAGAAAUUUAAUGGAAGGCUACAAACUCAAAAGGGGAAUAUUGUAGAUCAAAGUCGGGAGCAGAGAUCAAAUACAUUAAUCACAUGAGAUUAGGCUAAUAUUCAAUACUUCCUCUUCAAGAAUAGUAGGACAAACAUAGGGCCAAAAAUAAGAUCUUCUUGAGUUAGUCAAUACUUAAGCUAACAGAGAUAAAUUAAAUAGACAAGGAUUGACUACAUAAUUUCAAAUCACCUAGCAAAUUAACUAAAAAACAAUACAAACUGAUUCAAAUUAAGAUGAACUAAAAAAAACUAAACAAACUAUAAUAUUAAACGAGCAUAAUACCAUAAAUGAAUCAAAGCAUCAUAUACACAAAGAACAAAACUACAGAAUAUUACCUCUUCCGGAGCAGCGACCGAAGACAACUAGAUUGAGAGGACAGAGGUUCUUCCACCACAAAAGCCAAGUAUGAAUAGCAAACCAAGAGAAUCUGAGUGGCGACCUUCUCGGAAACUUAGAACAAGAGAGCUAAACAUAAAAUUUUAAGUGUAAAGUCACUAUUGCCAAAGAACUCAAACUAGAAAAAAAACUUCUUUUUUUUUUGGCGCCCCCCCUUUAAACACAUAGAGAAAACGAUCUUAAAUAGAUGAAGAAUAGGGUUGAUUUUUUUUUAGUAGGAAAAACGGAUGAAUUGGAAGAAUUUGAAUUUGAAUUUGAAAUUCAAGUUCUCUUUUGGAUAAGGAUGCUGGAUUUCCGCGAUUUAGUGGGAUUCACUGCGCUGGACUGCUGUUCGUUUCUGGGUAAAGUCACUAUUGCCAAAGAACUCAAACUAGAAAAAAAACUUCUUUUUUUUUUGGCGCCCCCCCUUUAAACACAUAGAGAAAACGAUCUUAAAUAGAUGAAGAAUAGGGUUGAUUUUUUUUUAGUAGGAAAAACGGAUGAAUUGGAAGAAUUUGAAUUUGAAUUUGAAAUUCAAGUUCUCUUUUGGAUAAGGAUGCUGGAUUUCCGCGAUUUGGUGGGAUUCACUGCGCUGGACUGCUGUUCGUUUCUGGGUUCUCCGCGAUUUCGGCUGCUGUCCGCGAUUUCUGGGUUUGCAGCGUCUUGAAUUUUGGUUCUCGCGUUGAGGAAGAAGGAGAAAAGGGUCGGGUCAGAUGUGGUAUUGUUGUAUGUAUGUUUGGAUCGCUGGUUGUAUUGUUGAAAUGGGUUUCUUUUGAAUUGGGUUGUAUUGAGGAAUUGUUGCUGAAGUGGGCUGGUAUUAAGAGUUGAAUAGUGGGCUAGGUUAUUGGUGGAAAAGGAAAUGGGCCGAAAAUAGGGAGUGUUGGGCCGGCUGAUGCUGGAAAAAAGGCCCAAAGUUGGCCUGAAAUAAUUAAAGUAAAUGGUAAGGAAAUUAAUAAAAAGGCCAAAGGAUUGCAAACUUAGCCUACUUAAAUUGAGAGUUAGUCAAAUUGAAUUUAAUUAGCAAAUUCGAC